rnacentral:lncRNA from 1 species
UAUUAAAGGAUUAAUAGUUAAUAAUUGAGAUUCCAAAUUGGAAAGCUUAUUGUUUCAUUUUCUCAGCUAAGGGGUUGUUUGGCUUUUAGAAAAAGUUUGAAAAAAAGUGUAACACGCCUACAAUCUCACAUCGAACGGAAAAGAAAUUGUGAUUGAAAAUAUAAGAGAUUGCACAUCUUAAUAAUAAUAACUUGAUUUAAAUAUUUUGGGUCGGUGGUUUGAGUCCAACAAAUUAUUAUUUUUAUCUGAUCGGAUUGUUACAAUUAGUAUUAAAACCAAAUACCAACUAAAAGUGUGAGAACUAAAUACUAUACGGGAUAAAAUACUACACCAUAAAUUUGGCGGGAACCAACUCCUGAAACUUACAGGAGCCGCUUUUAAAAUCUCACAUCCCAUUAAACCUGCAUGAGUCAUAUCUAAAAUCUCAUAUCUCACUAGACCCGCAGAAGUUAUUUCUAGAAUCUUACAUCACCUGUAAUCAGGUUUAAACCAGAUGUGCAUGAGUCACGUUUAAAAUCUCACAUCCUACCAAACUCGUAGUAGCUAGAAACCACCUCUAAAAUGUCACAUCUUGAGUUUAGACUUAACGAAAAAGUCCCACAUCAGAUCCUCGCCAGGUUCUAAACUGGAGUCCCAAAAUGAAAAAAUCCCACAUUAUUACUUUUAUUACUUUUGUUUUCUACUUUUUUUUUUUUUGGAUAACAAAAAUACUUUUUUUAAAAAAAAUCUAUUUUUUUAAAAAAUAAUAUUUUUUUUAAAAAAUCAAACAGUAAAAUUUUUUGAAAAAAAUUCUCUGGUUUUUUAGAAAUUUUCGCACUACAACAUAAUUAGAUUGUAGGGACACAUGUUUUGGACACUUUUGUGUAGUGUUCCAUUUAUAUCAAAAUUUUUUAAAAAAUCUACUAAUGUCUAAAUAUAAAAUUCAAUCCAACGUUACUCUACUCAAUUCACCCCACCCAGCCCAUUCGGCCCGAUUACAAACAGAAAAGUGAAAACAAAGAAAAAUCGAUUACUAUCUCUCUUCUCUCCUCACUCAAUCCACUGAAAUUUUAGACGAAAAGCCCUUCCCUCUCAUCCUCCUCCGUCACCGCAGCCAACGAGAUAGAGUUUCAACGGUUGCUAAAUGUUUAAAUAGGUGCUGGUAAAUUAGCAGCACUCUUUUUAGAUUAUAUCGAUACUUUUUUACUGUCACUAUAUACCUAGCGACCCCACAUAUAGCAAUAUUUUUUAAAAGUGUCCGUAAUUUAGCCAGCAGCUCUUUUUUUAACCUGCACCGAUAUUUAAAGAUGUCGCUAUACAUCAUUUUUAUUGAAGUGUCGUUUUAUGCUUUUUCUAUGAACCAAAAAGCCCUAAAUUACAUCAGCAUGUCCAUAAUUUGUUUCGUUCCUAUCAAAAUUGAUUUGUUAAUGUCGCUAUCUUUAUUAUCUAAAUUCAAUACUUAGUAAGCAAAUUUUGACAUCAACUACUAUGUUUGUUUUAACUUUUCUAUAUAAAUAAAACGUAUAUCGUACGUGUCACGUAAAUAUAUAUGCAUGACACAAAUAAAGUACAAUUUAUCUAACGCCGUUGUUUUUCCCGUCCAUGAUACGUUACCAAAACAAAGAAAAGAAUUAAAAUUUUAAAAAGCCGGCUAAAUUUUAUCCUUUUGAUUCUAAUUUGAAUUACUAACUUUAAUUUAAGCUAAUGAAAGAUAACGCACCAACUCAUUUGUAAUUUCAAUUUGAUUCCGCAUACUAAAUUUGAUGUUCAUUUGUUAAGGCCCUAGAAAAUUUAAAAUAAUCGAUUUACUACAAUAUAUAUAUAUAUAUAUAUAUACACUACGUACAAUAUAUACUACCUACAUAUGAGUAACAAAUGAAACAAAAAAGAGUUUAAUCAGAUCAUUAAAAUACAAAUAAGUAAUUUUUUUAUUGCCUUAAUUAUCUUUUAUUUAAUAGUAUUAUAUGAAAAAAAAAAAAAACUUUAGUUGUGAGCUAUUCAACGACAUCUUAUUGAGAAGCUUCUGAUAAGACAAAAUUAGUAACAGCAGAUUGAAGACUCCAUAAUAAGGUGUUGUUAGAGAGCUCCCUUCUGAAAUUUUUUCGUAUUCUAAAUAAUAUUUUUUAAUUAUCUUUUGAAUAAAAAAAAGAAAAUCAAUGAGAUUGUAAGAUGCAGUAUACCAAUGUAUACCAAUGGAGCGGACGCAUAAAUUUUUUAUUUUCAGAACAGUAAAAUGCACAAACAUUAUCAAAACUUUAAUCCAUUUGAAUUUUGUUUUUAUUUGAUUUGCACCCCUCUACUUUCUAGCAGUUUGAUCUAACUCCUUCCGAUAGCAACUUUAAAGAUUUUGUUAAAAUUAAAUGGUGACCUCAUCUUUUUACUAAAGCAAUUCUUGGUCACGUGCAUCUUUCAUGCACUUUUUUUAAUAGAAUCUCCAAAAUUGCUAAUGAAAGAAUUUAAAUCAAACAAUUAUUGAGUACAGGAGAUGUAAAUCAAGUAAAAAAUAAAAAUAAAAAUUAAGAGGUCAAUUUUAGAAUAAGUUAAAAGUUUAUAGCGUGCGUAUACGUUUUAACCAUUUCAUAACUAAUUAAACAACUAAAAUUAAAACCUAAAAGGUCAAAAGCUGUACACUAAAAUCAAAAUUUUUAAAGAUAAACGGAUAUAUUGCGUCUUUGGUUUUAAAACUAGGCAACGCAUGAAAUUUUAGUUCUCAAAUUUUAAUUAUUAUAAUUUCCGACUUGGUUUUAAAACUAAGUAUUAAUAUAUUUUAAUAAUAUAUUAAUACUUAGUUAUAAUAAUUUUAAAAAUUAAAAUAAAAAAAUAUAAUAAAUUAAAAUUUGAGAACAAAAUGCUAGUCUCAUAGUUUUAAGAACCAAGCAUGCAAUUUACCCAAAGGUAAUUGAUCACAAAGACUCUUCGUCAUUGUUGCUAGGCCGGCAAAUGGUUCGGCUCGAAUUCGGCUUGCUCGAGCUUGACUCGUAGUUAAAUGAGCUGAAUUUGAAUAUUAACAACGAGCUCGAAAUUAAUUUUAAGCUGAGCUUGAAUUAGACUAUAAAAGAUGAAAAAAAUAUAUAUAUACAUACUAAAAAUAUUUAUAUAAAUAUAUAUAAUAAAUAUUUAAAUUAUAUAUAUAAUUACAUAUAAUAUGUAUUUGAAUUGUAUGUCUAUAUAUUUUAAGACCAUUCGAUCAUUAUCGUCGCACAAUUUAGGCCGCCCUACAAGACCAAAAUAUUGUCACGCCACAUUUUCUAAGGAGAUAAAGCAAAUUUAAACUUCCAAUUUUCUCUCUCUCUCUCUCUCUCAAAAAGAAAGAUAUGAGAGUCUAAAAUGAAUACGCCAAUAACAGUGAAUAUUCGUUACAAAAUUAUAUAUAAUAAAUUAUAAAUUACUUUUCUUAAUAUUAUACUAUCAUAUUUUAUAUAUUUAUUUUGUAUGUUGAACUAUCACAUAUGUUUCUGUCAAGUUCUAAACAAUAUUUAGCAAAAAUUAAACUAUAAAUUAUAUAAUAUUAAAGAUUUCAAAUAACUUGUUUAGUACUUGAGAUUGCUCGACUCAGAGUUAGCGUCUUGUUCGAAUUAAUUUCAAGCCGAAUUUCGCCUAAUUUUAGACUCAAAAUUAAUUUCAUGCUCGAACUAAUUUUAAAGCCAAGCUUCGUCUAAUUUUAGCCUCAAAAUUAAUUUCAAGCUGAGCUUCGUCUAACUUUAGACUCAAAAUUAAUUUCAAACUUGUGCUGAGCUAAGGUCGCUCCAGAGAUUUUUUUUUAUAUUUAGCGUUCUUAAAAUAUUUCUUUACAAAUAGUUUUAAUAAAUUUAUAUUUGUAUAAAUAGUCUUUUUUUUUACCAUUCGAGUGUCUAAGUAGCGUUUUUAAGUUGAACACAGUGAUUGAAUCUUUAUAUUUUUUUUAAUAUUUUUUGUUGCUCCUAAGUUAAAAAAAAUAUUAUCCCCGAAUUAAAAAAAGGACUAAAAUGUGAAAAUAAAUACGGUGAUUUAAUCACCAUAUUUAAUUUAAAAUUACCAACGUAACACUCUUGUGACAUUGACAAGGAGCCAAAUAUCAAUUUGCUAGGGUAAUUUGUAAAUUUUUUUUUUUGAGGGUGCUAAAUAGAAAAAAGGCCCGUCGCUCGAGUUCAACAAGUCGCACCUCUCCGUGGUCGCGGUGGUGGUCGAGGGCAACAAUGGCCGCUUCCCUGCAACGGAGGGCGCCGCUUCUCCUCGUCCGCGCCCUCUCCUCCCCUGUGCGAUCGCUCUCUUCGGGCGCCGCCCUCGUCGAUCCCAGCUCCGGCGAGGUCGGGAUCGUCUCCGGGAUCCCCCACGAACACCUCCGCCGAAAGGUGCGAUCCCCUUCUCCCUCGAAUCAUUUAGGGUUUUGAUGUUGCGAUUUGGGGAGUUUCGAUACCCGUUUGUCGUUGAUCUUAGUAGAUUUGCGAUAUGAGUACACUGAGGACGCAAACGAUGUGGUUUAGUAGUGUAGAGAUCGACUCGGGUUUCCAUUUGCGGCGGCGACGAGGUUUGGUCUGCGAGUUGUUUGGGCUUCUGUUUAGCUUAUUUAUGAUUUGAUUCAAUACUAAUGUAAAAAACUGGGAGGAAUUUAGUGCUAUGGUAAAUAAGAAAAUGUUAUCAAAUGUAAAUUUAACUCAUUUGUUAAGAAACUAGCUUGCAUUAUUCUUUUGGGAUGUAGAUUUGAAGUUUGUGGGGGCAUCUACUUCCUUAGAGGGUGCUUGGUUUCUCGGAAAACUCUGGAAAAUUGUUUUCCUGGGAGAAAAAAAAGUUUUCCAUGGAAAACACCAUUUUUCAGAGUUUUUGUUUUCCGGAUAAAAAAAAUCCGGAAAAUGAAAAGGUAAGUUUUUCAUGAAAUCCGAAAAAAGUUUUCUUGGAAAUCUGUUUUUCCUGUGAAUAAAAUAAACGGAAAAGUAUUUUCCAGCCAGAAACUAUUUUUCAGGAUUUUUUUUCCAGGGAACCAAACUUAAUGGUUUGUUUAGGUAAUGCCAUUUCUAUGUAGGGAGAUGUUAAGUGCAUCUUGUAUCUACAUUCAAAAUGAUUUCUAAGAUUCAUUUAUUUGGUAACAAUUGGCUUCAAAGAUGCAACAUGCCUACUUUUUCAUGCCUUUACUUUUUCAUAGGGCGAAUUGAUUUAGUUCUUUAUCCUCUCUUCUACUGUCAUUUUUUUUUUCUUUGUUUUUUUUUUUGUUAGAAUGCUUUUUGUCGUACUCAUUCGCACGUGGCUGUAGGUCAUGAUCUAUUCACCGGCUAGGACAGCAACUCAGCAAGGUUCUGGGAAAGUUGGAAGGUGGAAAAUCAAUUUUAUGUCAACGCUAAAGUAUGUGCCCUGUUCUUCAUGUUGAUUGCUUUUAACACUCUUUUAAGGGACUAGUGGAAUGUUCUCAUCAAACCAAUGUAUUGAAACUGCUAGCAAACAUUAUGCUUUCUAAACUAAAUAUAAUUUUUCCAAAUGAUUUGCUAAUUAGUAAUCUCAUUAGUUAACUUGCAUUGGGAGGUGCUUGGUUGUCAAUUUUGCAAAUGAUCUAAUUCUGCAAGUUGUGGGCGAUCAUAUGUCAUUGCACUGUCAGAUUGGACCUAUGAAAUACCUUUUGUUAAGUUCGGUUAUGUAGAAGGCAAGCUGUUGGAUAAUGUGAGUUGAAUUGUGUCGGCAAUCUACUGUAAAUAUUCUCCUCAUUUCAAAUGUAUAAAUUGAAUCUGACAAAGAAAUAAUCGAUAAUUCUCUCAUCUGUUUGAUGCUUGUUUUUCCUGAUUUGUCUUUCUUUCUUGAAAGUACAUUCAGAAUGUCAUGAUGACCAUACUUUGUACAAUUAGUGUUUCAUAUUAACACCUCAGUGCAAUGCAGGUGGGAGAAUCCAUUGAUGGGUUGGACAUCCACUGGGGAUCCGUAUGCUAAUGUAGGUGAUGCAGGGCUGAGUUUUGAUAGUGAAGAAGCUGCAAAAUCGUUUGCUGAAAAGCAUGGAUGGGAUUUUGUGGUGUGUAUAGCUUUCCUCUUUGUUUAUUUUAAUUUUUUUGAUUAGGUGAUUUAUUUAUGCAAUUAUGCAUUUGAGAAUAAAAUUGAUUGGACUAGGAAACUUUCUAGUGCUGCAUGCUAGUUUAAUGCGCAUUGUCGUAUAGUGGUGGCCUAGCAUUUGUUUGGCCUGGCUUUGGCGACAAUUUUCUACUUCAAAAAGCAUUUAGGUGUUUUGCAAAGAAAUGCUAUGGAGCUUUGUGUGGUGGAAGCUGAAAUGAGCUUCUGGCCUAGAAAAGUAGAGAGGCUCUUGUGUGUUGCUUCUGCUUUUGGGGAAGCUGCUGGGAGGAUGUAUUAGAAAAAGCAGUUAGUGCUUCUUCAAAUUUGACAGUCCUAUCUUAGAACAAAUUGGCCCUUUUCUGAAGCUGCCAUGAGCUUUUUGCACCAGUACUUUUCAUUGCAUUCACAGCACAUGAAAUGAUAGUUUCUUCUUCUGAGAUCCUUACUUUUGAUCUUGAACUGAACAAGCCUUUUGUUACAAGAACCAUAGUGUUGUACUCUCUUCAGGUAUUCUCAUGUAUUCUACUUAUGCUGUAUUUGACAGUCUUUUGCUUUCAUCCCGGGGUGCACAAUAUGCCCUGGAAGUGUAUUUUCUUCUGUCAGAAGUUGUUAUAGCAAAUACUUGACAUCAUCUUAUCUUGGCAUUAGAAACUUCUUGCAAAAAAUGAAACUGCUUCACAGUAGGUUGGUACUCCUGUGGUUUUAGCAUCUUAUUUGACACAGAAAGGUUGAUGUACUGUUAGCUUGUAUUCCAGGACCAGAGGAGUAGAAUGAGCCAUAUAGAGAUUCAAAAUUUUUGUAAUGUAUGUUGUUUGCACAAUUUCAUGAAAAUUUUGCAGCUUUUCUAUGAAGAUGUUGUUGAAUCUUUGCAAAACUGUUAUUCUGUUAAUUUGGGGUGAUUGGUCCAGCUAAUUACUUAUUUACAUACCUAAACAUUGAAUUUAAUACGAUAUGUAGAAAAAAGAGAUUUUGUUGGAAACUUGGAAACUUGAUCAACCACCUAAACCCCCACAACCUAAAUCCCAAGUGUGUAAUUCAAAACUGUUUGACUCUAUUCAUAGUCAAACUGCAGUUUGGUCUUGCUGGCUAUAGUUUCCAGACUUCUAGAUUUUAAACUUCAGAGAUAUCGUUGACUUGAAUUGAAUUUUAGGGAAUUUUCCGAGCUGAUUGAGCUCAACUUUUAAGUCUUAGGCGCAUCUGUGUUGAUACCUGUCUUGAAUUGCAAACCUGUCAGGUCAACUGGGUUUUGAUUCAACUCGGCGACCUUUUAAGCUAUGUUUUAGUUGCAAUGUGCAACCUAAAAUGAGCUUUUCUAGGUGAUGAAACUUGCUUUUCUCUACUUGUGUUGCUGACUUGCUUCCAUGUCUCUUAUUACCUCUAAUAUUUGAUUUGAAUAUUAUGGGAGGCAUUUGGCUUAUAUUAUGUUAGCAGCAGUCACAUGAUUUAUCUCUAUAAAUGCGGUUGUGAUCCUUAGAGAAUCAAGAGUGUAUAGAGUGUCACCCUGUGCUUUGUGCUGUUAUUAGAACUAUUAUGCAGUUUAGAUCUUUUAUACUUCUCACUGUAAAGUUAGUACCAAAGCAUCCUUAUCUAUGCCUCGACAUUUGCGCAGGUCAGGAAGCGCCAUACUCCCCUUUUGAAGGUUUGUAGUUCUUCCUCUAGAAUAUUGUGUUUGUGAGUUAUUAUUUGCCAUCAAUUUAGAAGAUCAAAUUUGUUGAAAACUACUGAAAUUAGUCUUCAUUCUCUGGGUUGGACUUUCGUUCACAUUGCUUCUAUGUCAAGUCAACUGUUCUCAAUCUCUUAACCAAUGCUGGUUCUUCUGAUUUCAUUUCUCGGCAUUAAAUUUUUAUUUUUAUAAUAAGAAACUGUAGAGAGGCUUAAGAAAAAUUCUUGUUACAAGGAUCAUGAUAGCGAUAUAAAUACAUAAUAAUGUCCACAUGUAAAUGAAAAGAGCCUGAAAAUUUUUGUUUGUUUUCCUUCAUUCAACAUUGCGAAUGAAGAGAAUAACAUCUUUGUUAUCUUAACUUUUACCACUGCAAGCAUCAGAAUUUCACUAGCUUUUAAGUUUGAUAAAGCCUUCCUAGCUAUCUAUCUGUUUGUAUCUUCUUCUGAAUCUUUCUUAUACUGCAGGUGAAAGCCUAUGCAGACAAUUUCAAGUGGAAGGGCCCCCCAAAGAUAGAGGAAGAUUAGAUCCUCUCUCUUUCUGUUGUUUCGGUGCACAGCGAUGUCGUUGUGCUUUAUGUUUUUCCUGCAUUACGAUCCCUUUUGAUAUCCCUGGCAAUUCAAAUUCCCAUUUGCCAUCAAUAAAAAUUACUAAAGUGUUUCUUUUGUAUGCUCCUUCUCCGCGCCGUAGUCAUUUGAGGGUUUUGCAUCUCCUCGCUGCUGUUUCCUGUUUAGCCAUAUGAACAUAUUCCAGCUGAUAAGAUGGAGGCAGAUUUUUUUGUCUUCUGAGAAAAUCUUCUCUGUAAAAAUUUCUUUUACGAUAAUUGCGUCUUUGCAAUCUUCAAAUUACUAAGAUUUUAUUUGAUUUUUUCUAACAUCAUUAUCUGAUUGGCCUGUUACCUUCCUAGGUGGUGCCUCUAUUAAGGAAAGGAUCACACUUGCUCUCUACAGUAUGCAUUUUUGUGCUUAUAACUGGAGUUUCCAAUGACCCCGAUGGAAAUGUUCUUGUUUUAUGCCUGGAUUGUCAUCCUUUUUAAUUUUUUUUGAAGGAUAAACUUCAAUUUACCCUUAUAUGGUUUAGUUCAUUAUCACUUUAUCAUCUUGUGGUUUAAAAAAUUAUAUUUAAUUAUCUUGUGAUUUUAUCUCUAUUUUUUAUUAAAAAUUUACUAUCAAAUAGGAUAGUAAAGUGAAAUUUUUUGAUAAUCACAAAUUAAUUAAAGUGUAUUUUUUUAAAACCAUGGGAUGAUAAAAUGAAAGUGUUAAACCAUAGGGCAGUUAAGUGUAAUCUUUUAAGCCACGUGAUGGCAAAGUGAAAAUAAGUUAAACCGCGAGAUUUUUUAUUAAUUCUUUUCAGUAGAGUUAUUCAAACCAAUGAAGUUAGGAUCUUUUCAAUCAAAUAUAACAGUAAUUCCUUUAAACUGUAGUCAUGAUUGUGUUUUGCGGACAAAUUACCGUUAAAGUUAUUAAAUUUAACAAAAUUUUUAGUUUAACCGAUUGAGGAAUUUUUACAAAAAUCAAAAUUUGGCAGAUUAAUAAAAUAAAAGUUAGAGGCUAUUUGAAAUAAGUUUUCAGACUCACAAGGCCUUUGGAUUGAGUUCUUCUGCACUGGCUUUAAUUUUGAUAGAAACAAAGCAAUUUAAGACUGUAUUAACUACUCUGCCGAGUUAAAAGAUAAGCAAUAGUUAUUAUUAUCUUCUUAUGGAGCCUUUUCUUCUUUUUGUUCUUUUGUUCUUUUUUUUGUUCCAUAAGAUUUCUCUACGUCUCUUACCCUAUAAAUAUUCUUUUCACUGAAUUAGCUAAGAAAUCGAACUCGAAUCUUCUUUUGUUUUAUUUAUUCAUGCAUAUACGGAAUUUCGAACGCCUGACCUGUUAUGCGGUCGUUUUAAAUAACAAUCACUCAACUAUGCAUUGAUUGUUUCUUUUAACAUGGCCAAUGAGAAUUGAGAAGAGUCCAUUGCAAUGUUCAUGAGGGCAUUCAAUGGGGCUUUACCCCAAUCCCCUCUUAGGUUGUGGAUAUUUGAUAUUUCUGUUGGUGUGUCCUUUUUCUUGUCCUUUUUCCCUUGUGCAUCAAGCUUUAGCUUUCCCUUGGACUCUGCCACCCUAGGAAUGAAAGAAUCUCAACUUCAAUAGAUUUUCUACUUCUUUUUUUACUUUUUUUCUUGUUUGAGCUGAACUGAGUUUUUUUUUUUUUUUUUUUUUUUUUUUUUUUUUUUUUUUUUUUUUGUUUUUUUGGGUAAACUUCAAAUUUAUUUGUGGUUUCGCACUUUCUUAUUUUUAGUACCCUAUAGUUUAAAAUAUAUUAAUUUAGUAAUAUGUGAUUUUAUUUUAUUUUUUUUCGUCAGCUCCUCUGUUGACAUUUCGUUAAAUUAUAUAUAAAAAACUUCAGAUACCCCACUUAGAUUUAUGGAAUAUUCAUUUCAGUACAUUUUAGUUUUAACUUUGUCAUUGAUUUAACAAAAAAAAAUUAAUAUAGAGGAUAAUAAAAAGAGAAAAAUGAAACGAAAGGAUACCAAAUUGAUAUACUUUAAAUCAUAGGAUACUAAAAUUUAAAAGUGUGAAACUAUAGAGAUGGUAUUUGAAGUUUUUCCUUCUUUUUUUUAACUUCUCUUUUAAUAUAGCGACCGGCCCUAGCGCAAGUGACAAAAAGACUUGAUGGUUGGUAUUCGAGAUUCCAAAUUCAAAAAUUCUAGUUGAUUUAUAUUUUCAGCUUAUUCAUUCUAAAAAAUAAAUAAAACGGAUAGCAUACUAUCUUUUUCUUAAGAAAAAAAAACUUCUCUUUUAGAAUGAAUAAAAAGAAUGGCAGAAAGGUUUUUUUCAAAUAAAUUUUAAAAAAAAUAUAAUAAUUUGUUAAAUAAAAAUAUCAAAAUUUUAUUGAUCAAAUAAUCUUAUUUUGUCGAACUCAACGAGCAAUUAGAAAACGGGUGGCAAAUUAUUUAUUAUCUUUUUCUUAAAAUGGAUGGUAAAUUAUUUAUUUCAUUUAUUUCUAUUUUCUGUAUACAAUUGUAUUAAAAUAUAUAAAAAUUUUAAUAAAUCACAUAUAAUAUUAUUAACAAUCCAAAAGUCCUAACAUUCAUUCAUAUAAUUCUAAUAAUUAAACAAAAAUUUUAAUAAUUCACAUAUAAUUUUAAAAUUUUCAUGAAAAUUUGCGAACGACACAUGCACUCUGAAGGCAAGAAAUAAUUUCCCACUUUCUAACUCAAUUUGUCUAAUAUGACACUGAGUUGGUGGGAAAAAAAUUAAUUGAUCAAAUAAAAUUUUAAAAAUAUUAUUUGACAAAUUAAGAGAAAUUUAAGAAUUAUGUUAAAAAAGAAUAAUAGCAGAUGCUACAUUUCCCUGUGCUACACGCAACUACGCAAGGCAACAGAGGCAUCGACCAAAAAGAGAAAAAAGUUCUUUCUCUCUCCCUGAACACUAUCUAUCAAGUCAUAAUCAAAUCUCAUCCUACUUAUUUCGCCAUUCAAAUCCACAACAUCAGCUUUUGGCAUCUUCCCCACAAGGAAUGAGUUAAAAGCAAUACUACAUCACUACUACCUGUACACCUAUAUAAAAUAUUAGAAUCUGCUCGUCGUGUUCGGCUACGGUGCUUUUAAAAAUACUAAAUAUUUAAUAUUUAUAAAUUUUUUAUAAUUAAAUUUAUUUUUUUUGAUUAUUUUUAUUCGUUAGAUUAUAUUGUUUAACCAUCUAUUCACUCAACCCUAAUAGAAAAUCGCCAUCAUCUUAACCGCACGCUUCUUAAUCCAUGGACUGAAAAUCUACAGACACUAAUAAUGUCUCAUUUUAAAAAAUAUUGAAGCUCAGGGGUGAGAGUAGUUCGGAUAGACUCGUCGAUAUGAUGCGAAUAUAAAUAUCAAAAUUUAGUACAAAGCCUGCAAAUCCAGUCAAAAAAUUUACCUCAUUAUUAAAGGAAAAAAAAAAACAAUCAAAUUAUAUUUUAAUUUUGAAGUCCUUUUAUUUAGCUAACUCAUACAACAAGAUUAAUGUGACAAUUAAGAUUUUCAUAAGCACGAAAAUAUUAUAAAAAAGUAGACAUUUUUUAUAAUAAGCAAUAUUACUAAUAUUUUUGAAAGUGAAAUAUAUAUUUUAUAUAUUCAUAAAAAAAUUAUUAAUUUUUACUUGUCGUAUUAAUCUUUUUACUAAAAUUAUUUAAAAUUGUAUAUAUUUUAAAAUAGAGUGUGUAAGAUGCAUUCUCUUUUUAGAACAUAAAAAUAGAAUUUUGCUUUUACACUAUCAUUCCCAAAUUGACAAUCCCUCCGCAGAAAACGACAAAACCAAUCUAAUAAACCCACGCUAAAACGCAAUUAUACCAUAUCUUGCGUGACUCAAACUUAGGUAAUUCGUGAUGUUGAUAUUAUUGAUAUCUUAAAAUAUUUAUAUAAAAAUAUUUUAGAAAAUACAGCAUGACGAUCAGCUAUGUUAAAUAUAAUUUUAACUAUUUGAACUUAGUAAAAAGCCAAAUUUAUAAUUUUACGAUAUUAUUUAAUUAGUGUUCAAGUAUUGUCAAAUUUAUGUUAUAUUAGUUAAAAAAUAUUAAUUUUUGAACCACGUCAAGACUAGAUAAAUAAUGUUAAAAACUUAUAAAAUUUAAACCUAAAAGAUUCAAAUAUUUUAAAAUAUAUUUAACAGUAUCGUCAUCAAUUUGAAUGCCCCUGCCAUAGAAAACAAUGCGAAAAAAAAAAAAAAAACUAUCCCAACUAUGUAUACGGAGUACAAAGAUUACAGUAACAGCACCCGCUAUCAUAAUUUAAUUCAGAGUUUUAUUUUUUCCCUAGUAGCAUAACACUUGCUCAAAAAAUUUAACCUUAUUUGAAAAAAUGUGUCAUUUAAGGUGUUUGGGUCACUCCAAAUUACUCUUGAAUUUUAUAAAAAGGUACCUAAUUUUUAGAUUGAGUGAGAGAGCAUGAAUAGCUAAGAUGUUUUAUCCUCAACUUACUUGGAGAAUCUUUAGAUUUGUGAGCUUUUUAUUUUACUAUAAAAUUAUAUAGGAAUGAAGUAAUUUUAUUGCGUUUUGUAAUACCAUAAAAAUCAUUCAAAUAUUUUUUUCUAAAAAAAAAAUAUACAGCGUGUGAUAAAAAAUUUGAUAAUUAAUUCGAAAUCCCAAAUUCAAAGUCUAAGUCGAUUCAUAUUUCCAACUAAGUUUAUUUUUUUUUUUAAAAAAAAAAUACUUCGGAUUUGAUUGCUGGCUUAUAUGUGGAGGGAUCAGACCUUACAAUUUAAGAUAUAAUAAUAAAGCUUACAAUUUAAUAAUAAUAUUUAGCGUUUAGUUAUUAAUAUUUAAAAUAUAAUAAUGAUAAUGUCAUGUUAUCAAAAGUAUUAUAGAAAAUCUUCUCCCUAUAACACUACUCAAAAAAGAAUGAAACCAAAAGUUUUAUUUUUCUCAAUAAUAAUAAUAAUAAUAAUAAUACAGCAGCUGUAAAAUACCUUGAUUUUAACAAAUAUUCCACUCGUACAAGAUUUUCAAACACACCAUUACCAAGUAUGAAAAUAAAUAUAUUUAUAUUUAUAGAUUUCAAGAUUUUUUUUAAAAAAAAAAAAAAAACCUUUGAACACAACAAAAGAUGACACGGCUCGUACAUUCAGAUGUCCAUUCAUUCAUUUCGGUCCUUUUCCUUUCCCUUUAAUUACAGAUAAAGAUAGACAGAAAGAUACAGAAAGAGAGAAAAGUGCACUCCAGUCGGCAAGCCAGGCUGCGCGGAUGAGAUUUACCAUCAGCUGCCGGCACUCUCAGCAAUGCUCUCCAAUGCCGGCCUCCACUGAUGAGCCUGCCGUCUGCCCCCGCUGCUGCCGCUCGCAACUGCCGCCGCCUCCGCUUCCGUCUCUGCCGAGGGCUCCUCGCUUGUCGGGGAGGUUGCGGAUGCUGCUUGUGCAUGCUAUGACAAAUAUACAAUCGGACCAACAUUUAUACUUAGACUUUGUUUGGUAAUGUGAUGGUUAAAAAUUAUAACUUAAAUUUAUUUUAACCGCCGAAAAUUUAUUUUUUUAAUGUUCCACCCUCCAACCCUUUGGUUGGUUGGGGGUUAAGGAGUGGAAUAAUUCCUUAACCCUCGUAUUAUCCCCAAAUAUCUCAAAAAAUGAGUGGGGUUAGCUAAUCCCGCCUAAUCCGGAAUAGUCUAUUUUGGGUGGAGUUAGCUAACCCCAUCAAACCCCAACCAAACACUAUUUUUUAUUCAUAAUAACUCACUAUCCUUCUUAUCCCACCUACUCCAACCAAACACUAUUUUUCACUAUCCUAAACUAACUCCAACCCCCAACCAAAUACAAAAAUAUUCUAACCCCACGUUAAUCCUGAACUUAACCCUAUCCCUAAAAUAACUAAUUUUUUUUUAACCCCGAACCAAAGAGUAGCCAAAAGUAUAAAUUUACAGUGCUUUUAGCUACUGUUUGGUGUCGUCGUUUGCUAGUUUUUUGUACGGGCAAAUUAUACUUUUGGUCCUCAAAGUAUCAUGCACAUGACAUUUUGAUCCUUAAAAUUUACUUUGCUAUAACUUUUAGCUUAAAUUUUAUAAAUUAUUAUAAUUAAGUCUUAUAAUUUAAUUUAAUUUGAUAAAUAUUCAGAAAUCAUUAAUAUAAACAUGAUGCAGCACAUCCUCGAUCAUAAAUUUUCAUAUAAACAAUUCGUUAAUAUUUAAUCAACUAAAUUUGACUCUCAGACUUAUUUACAAUAAUUUAUAAAGAUCGAAUUUGAAAAAAUUAAUAAAUAAAGUUAGCAGCUUAGUAAGACUCGAACUCAAAAUUUUCUAUUCUAACACCAAAGUAAUAAUGUAAAAUAAUUGUUUUUCUUUAAAAUCAUAAACUAAUUUUCAAUAUUUCUAGUCAACACCCGAAAAUAUUAAAUUUUGUUUAUUUUUAUAUAAAUACCGCAGAUGUACAACACAUAAACAAUUCAUUAUCUAGCAUAUUUUAAUAUAUAAAAUAUUUGCAUAAAAGAAAUAAUAAGAAUAAUUUACACUUUUGGUAUGCAAACUAUGAGGCGAGCGACACUUUAAUAUUCAAAUUUUAAUUUAUCAAAAUUCCUCACUUGAACUUUUAAAAUUAUUAUAAUUAAAUCUCGCAUGUAAUUUAGUUGAUUGAAUAUUAAUUACAUGUCAUUAAAAACCAAAAUAAUAUAGUAUUUAAUUAUUAAUUAUUGCAUCACCAAUUAUAUCCCGGUAAUAUUCCUUUUAUAUUAGUGAUACAAUAUUAAUAUUUAACUAACUAAAUUACAUUGUGAAAUUUAAUUAUAAUAAUUGAAAAUUUUGAACCGAAACUGUGAAAAAUGAAAAAAACAAAGUUUGAAAGGACCAAAAGUGUAAUUCAGCCCAACAACAGUACCAAUUAAACCCAGCCACAGUUAAAUAAUCUGUAGAGUAAAUUGCAUGUUUGGCCCUCAAAUUUUAAUUUAUUAUAAUUUUUAAUUCAAAAUUUGAAAUUUAUUGUAAUAAAAUUUUAUAACCCAAUUUAGAUUAUUACAUAUAUUAAUUUAUAACAAAUGUAAAAACAUUGUACUAGUGUGUUAAUUUUGUAAUGCACCAAUAAUUAAGAAUCGCAUUAUUUGUACGAUAAUACAUUAAUAUUUAAUCAAUUAAAUAAUACCCGCAUUAUAGUUUAACCAAACGUGCAAUUUACCCAAAGUCUCUGUGAUACCAUGGUCGCUGGGGCUGUGCCUUGCUCCGUCUUUCGUGCUUGGCGUUUGCACCGUCCAUAAAUACCACCGCAGCUCGUCAUUUGCCGAGCGGUGUCGUCGUUACCUUUCUGCUUCACGGUCAGCCGGCUCAGCUUCACACGCUGCUUUGACGCAAACUCCCUCAGUACCUCUGACAUUAAAAACCAUCUCAUCUAUACUAGUCAAAUGAUGUAAAACUACUGUUAUUUUUCGAAAGCUUAAGCUACUUAAAAACUGUAUUUUUAAUAUUCACAUUCAACAUUCUUUCUCACGUUGAAAUUUAAGACCUGUUGAUAGACUCGAACAUAAACUAAUGUUAAAUGGGAUGGCGGGGUUGUAAUACCAAACGAAAUUAUAUGAAAUAAUAGGUAUUUUUCAAGAUUUUAAGUCGUUAAAAAACGAUAUUUUUAAUAUUUAAAUUCAAAAUAAAAAGACGAUGAAAUGGUGCACGACAAAAGAAAAAAAUCUCAGUACAAGAAUGCAUUUUAGAUGACGCUUGAAAAAUUUUCAAGAUCCAACACGUUCUUACAAUAUAGCAAAUAAUAACACUUCAAAAAAUAUCGCACAUGAACCCUCAAUUAUAUCAAAUCAACUUAUUAAAUAAUAAAUUUUACUAUUAUUUGUAAUUUUUAGAUUUUUAAAAAUUCUGACGCACGUCAAAAUAUAUUUUACUGUCGCUCGGCAUAAGUGGCGUUAUAUAUACACAACGGCCGCGACUCUUUAUUUACCGAUGCAUUUAAAUAUGACGCUAUGCUGUAUUGAGAUGCUUUUAAGCAUAUAUAUAUAUAUAUAUAUAUAUAUAUAUAUAUAGGAUAUAUAAUAUAUAUAUAUAUACUAUAUAUAUAUAUAUAUAUAUAUAUAGAGUGAAGCCUACUAUACUUCUGGAAGUACGGAGCUUCCGUGCUUUUAGGUCGUUUUCGAUGUUGUGAUUUUCGAAUCGUCAAUCGGCUCCGUUAAACUUGAUCUAGAAUAUUUGAAGUACUUAGAAAAUAAAUUUUAAUUUUCGAUAACAUCUGCUUGGUGAUCGAAGGUACUCAAAAUCAAUAAUUUUAAAUAGCCGUGUGGAGCCGUUUGCAAGUUUAACGGUGUAGAAAUAUUCAAAUCACGUAAAAUUUUGAUAAAAAAUUUUUUAUACUAUAUAAAACAAAUCAAUAUUUUUGAUCUAAAAUUUUAAUAUCAUAUUAUCACGUUUUGUAAGAUUUUUAUUUUCAGCCGUUAUUUUGAGCCCCUUAGUUCACUAGGCAAAUGAUAUCGAAAAAUUGUAAAAUUUAUUUUCUAGGUACUUCAAAUACUCUAGAUCAAUUUUAACGGGCCGAUCGACGAUUCGAAAGUCGCAACAUCAAAAUAACCUGAAAGCAUGAAAAGCCCUCCAUGCUUCCAGAAUAUAAUAGCCUCUUCUCUCUCUCUCUCUCUCUCUCUCUCUCUCUCUCUAUUAUAUAUAUAUAUAUAUAUAUAUAUUCUUAAAUAUUAAUUUUUUUUCGUAAUGGUGGGGGCCGACCUUCGAAGGUGACGAGGCGGUAGACGCGGCCGAUGAGGAGGGUAUCGUCGGGGCGGAGCAGCUUAAGAUGCUUCACCGGGUGAGCAGCAGCAGCAGGAGCAGCAGGAGCAGGGGGUGUGGUGGCGGUGACGAUAACGGCGGCGACGUAGUGGCCGGGGUUAGCGGCCAUGACGUGGCAGGCGCUGAGCGACCAAUAGAAUCGUUCGACCCUCCCCCCCGGGUGCUCGAUCACCACCGUCGCCGCCUCCGCCGCUUGGCAAUUCCCCAUCUAUCGAUAUAUAGAUCCCUCCUACACUCCUACGUACCUUAGUUUGUACGUACGUUACGUGUGUAUACGUAAAUGUAUACGUAUCUCUCUCUCUCUCUCUAUCUAAGAGGAGGGACGAUCCCAAACCCAAAUUAAGCGAUGUGUGGUGGAGCGAAAACAAGCGGAGGGGGAAUGAAGGGGAGAGAGAAAGGAGGGUGAGGUGGCGUGAAGUGCGUUUAAUACGGGCGUGAGAGUGCGGUGCGGAUUUAUUUAUUGGGCUUUUUUUACAAAUAGCCCCCUUAUAAUUUGUUUUUUUUAAAUUGGCCCUGUCAAAAAUUUAUUUGCGAAAAUGGCCCUACCCCCGCUACGUCAGCGCCACGUCAGCGCCACGCGGGCGGGACUGGGCCAGAUGGUUAUGUUGAACACAGUGAACCAUUCACCGUGUCCAAUAUAAAAUGGUUAAGAUCGAAAUAUUUGUAUUGGACACGGUGAAUCAUUUACCGUGUCCAAUACAAAUAAUUGGACACGGUGAAUGGUUCACCGUAUCUAAUACAAAUACCUCCAACUUACUCAUUGUUGGGGUAUUUGUAUUGGACACGGUGAAUCAUUCACCGUGUCCAAUACAAAAAUUUUGUAUUGAACUCGGUGAAUGGUUCACCGUGUUCAACUUAAACACCUGCGCCCGCCCUGCCCGCGUGGCGUUGACGUGGCGCUGGCGUGGCAGGGGCAGGGCCAUUUUUGUAAAUAAUUUUUGGACGGGGCUAUUUUUGCAAAUAAAAUUUAUCAGGGGGCUAUUUGUAAAAAAAACCCUUAUUUAUUAGGUGAAAUGCAUUAAUAUCCCUGCAAACGUAAUAAACUACAAAUAAGUUUCUACGAACUUUAAUUUUUAUAUAUUACUAGCGCAAAAAUUCUAAUAUUUUCUAAUAUGUUCUUUUGAUUUGUUAUAAUUAUAAAAUUAUUUAUGAUUUAAGUAAAAUAUCAAGUUUGUUAUUACAAAUAUGUACCUCUAAAAGCCACAACAGUAAAACAAAAAUAUCAAAUUAUCUUAUAAAUUAAUCAGAGUUAAGCAUUUAAUUAUGAUUAACUAAAAUUUUCUAACGGAUUCUAACGACAGGAACAUAUUUAAAAAUAUUAGGAUUUUUAUAGGCAUAUGAAAAUUGAACUUUUAAGAGACAUAUUUGUAAUUCAAUAUAUUUACAGGGACCUGUAAGAAAUUAAUCCUAUUUAUUAUUGAGUCAUUAUUUAUAAAUAAUAUUUUUAGAGUCCGACUGCUGUACUAUCAAUAACACGGAUACCUUCGUGCUACCAAGUUAUUUUUAUUUAUAAUUUUUUGAUAUCAUUUACCUAUCAAAAAAGUAGUCUAAGAAUAAACGGCUGAAAAUAAAAAUCUUUUUAAAAAUUAAUGAUAAAUCUUUUUAAAAAAUAAUGAUAAAAGACUUGAAUUUAAAAUCAGAUGUACUGAUUUUACUCUAAAUAGUAAAAAAAAAAUUAUAAAAAUUUUAUUGGAUUUGAAUUGUUUUACAUAGUUAAAUUCGCAAACGCAUCACAUUGAUCAUCAAAAUUAUCAAUUUUGAGACUUUUUGAUUACUGACCAAAUAAUAUUAAAAAAUUAUGAAAUUUAGUUUUCAAAUACUUUAAAUAGUGUAAAUCAAGUCUAACGAAGCUAUUCGUCGAUUUGGAAGCUGCAUUAUUGAAAACAAUUUGACAGCACGGAGGUCAGCCUGACAGCCUCUGUGCUAUCGAUAGUAUAGCAGCCUAAUUCAUAUUUUUAUAUCACUUUUAUAUUAAUAACUUAUUAAUACUUGGUUUGCUAAAUAAAAUUGCAAAAUAUGAUUAAAUUAGUUCAGAAAGUUCAUGCAAAAAUUUACAAUAAAUAAAACUAGUUUGAGGACCAAAAGCAUAUAUAAUUUAUCCUAAACUUUUUGAAAUAGCAAAUUUUAUAAUUUUUUAAUAUUAGUUUUUUUAAAAAAAUUACAAUAUUUUGUUUGAUUUUGACAUUUUUACUAAUUUGUUAAUUAAAAUUCAUAAAACUUAAAGUGGGAUUCAGUUUCUGAUUCAUUAAAUUUUGAACAAGAAUUAAGCUAUUGUAAUCAGUGGUAGUGGUUGAUAGUUUUGAAAUAAAGGUACGUAAUUAGAGAGCACACAUCAUAAUUAAAGAUAGUUGUUCAUUAUAUAUAUAAUGAAUAGUUUUUUCUUUUUUAUGGUUAAAAGACGUAAUUUUUUAUAUGUUUUUGCUCAUGAGCAUUUUUCUUGUCCUUUUUAUCUCAAAAAUAAAUAAAAACAUUGAGGUUUUAUUGAUCCCUCUUGGCUUAUAUGGAAAAACUAUCUGUGUGGAAGCCAAAAAAAACCUCUCAUAUUUGAAUCAGGAUUUUUACGAUUUUGCUCCAUCGAAUUCAAAUUAUCUAUUACUUAAUUUGAUUUAGUUUUACAAAGUUUACUAAUCAUUGUUUGAUUUUCUCCGAUACAUUUUAGGUUAGGCAAAGUAAUUAACAGUUCUCUAUUAGAGAUUUUAAUUAGAGCAAAAAUUUAUGUAAGCUUUUUAGAUAUGAGGGCGGAAGCUCUACUUAAAGCUCGUAUUCCUGAUACAACAGUAAUAAGAAAAUUGAUGCAGCAACAUUCAUUCACUGCUAUAAAAGAGUACUAUUAUAAAUUCUCAUAGUAUUAUCUUUAUAUAUAUAUAUUUUUUUGUGAGAAAAAGAUAGUAUGAUAUCCAUUUUAUCCAUUAGAAAGAUAAACUAUGCUACAGGGGUGAGACAACGUGGGCCUCGAGGGCUUAAAGUUACAAAAGAAAAAACAAAAUGCCUCCAACCGCUUAAUAUUCUGCUUAAUUUUGCUUAAUUUGCUCCCAAAACUUCGCAAGCUGCUUAACCUUGUGGAUAGCUAACAAUGUGUCCAACUGGAUCUUUCUAAAAAUCAUAUCAUUACUAACCUUCCAGAUGAUCCAUCAGCAGACUACUAAACCUGUUAGUCUGUGUCUCGUAGUUUGUCCACCUACCCCACCCUUUCAUCUAUCCCAGACAGAGAUAACAUCUUCUCCCAUAUUCUUGUCCUGAAUGUCCUCCACUCCCAUUACUAAAAUAAAUUUGGAGAAUACACACUGUAUGAAUAAAUGAUCCACAGUUUUUUCUUCAAUCCGACACAGCACACAGGCUGUGUCUCCAGUCCUCCCUCCCUUCACUAGGUUGUUUGUCGUAAGGGGUUUCUUCUUAAGUACCAGCCAACAGAACACUUUACCUUUUAGGGGUAUUCAAAGUUUUCAAAUCUAGUAUUGUUUAUAUGUUGGUUUUCACUAUAUGAAUUAUUGUAUUGAUUGGUUAAUGUCCCAAAUGUGAGAUUCCUAUAUAAAUUUACAAAUAUAUAAUUAAUAUAUAAUGGCAAUAACAGAGAAAAGACGAGAUAGCAUAUAUUUAUUUAUACUAAACAAGAGUGUAAGCCAUUUAUAUAAAAAUAAGCAAUAAAUAAAAAUUAGGGCUAUAACUUUGCCUUAUAACAACUUUCUAAUAAAAUAUUUAUUUUGCUAAUGGGCCGACCUUGGGCCGUGACUCGUUUGAAGCCCAUAUAGUGCGCAAAUAUCGAAUAUGUUGCCCGAAAGUCCGAACCCGCCUUUUUAAAAUUUGCGCAAGGUUUAUGGGAGUCCAUUUAAUUCCCGGCCUGGUCCAAUGUAGCUGCAUCUUCAUCAACUACAAUAAUGUAUAGUUUCCUUAACUAUCUCGCGGUUUGAAUAUCUGUAUCGAUCAAUGUAUUAGUCAAUACUGUAUAAGUUAGUGUGUAAAUUGUAGAUGAUAUAUCAGUAUUUCAGCAUAUUAGAAACUUUUUAGCCCGCAAACUGCGUUCUCAUAACGCAACGCAUGCUUUUGUUUUUCUCCCAAACGAAUACAAAUGGACCGUAAGCGCGGCCCGCUUAUAAGCAAGCAGGGCCAAACCCCUAACUUAGUCGGCAAACUUAUCUAAACUUGGGGCCAAGUUCUCAAGCAGCAUCUUUUUUAAGAGUCUUAGGCUUAAUUUGGUAUUGAACUCUAUUUAACGCUAUUAGAUAAAAUAGAAGGCUUAGUCUGGUAUUGAGCUCUAUUUAACGCUAUUAGAUAAAGUAGAGUUGGCGUAAAAACAUAUAAGGAUAUGUUUCUGCAUUAUAUGGUGAGAUCGUAAAAAAUAUAUCAUAACCGACUAAUCACGAUAUACGAAGCGCAAUAAUACGUACGGAAACAAACAAAAUAUUUUCUCAUAGUAUUUUUUUACCACACGUAAUGUAAUUUCCCCGCAUUUUCAAACAAAGCCCAUUUUGUUUUCGCUGUUUACCGCAAGUCUCCCUUUGUAAUUUAUUAGCAUCAAAUAUUCACCUAUCAAAAUGCCCUGAUGCAAUUAUGUUUGGUGCCAAAGGUACAGUCCAAGGUUGUCCUCCACCAUGUGGAGUAUUCAAUAAACUGGUUUGACUCCAAAUUAAUGAAAAAGCACACUAUCCAAAAGUCAAUAUCCAUCUUUGCAUUAACAUCCAUGGUCCCAUUCUUGUAAAAUGGAAAAAAAAAUUAGUUUCAUUUAUUUCACAGCAAUAAUCUACUAGCUAUAAAAAUGCCAAAAAAAAUAGGAAAAAAAAGAAAAUAUUAAGUCAUAUAACCUAAAUCAUUCAUAGUGGCUAUUUCCUCUAAUUGAAUGUGGAAUAUAAAAGAUAAUUGGUAUAUAUAUCGACUUUCGUGCAAUCAUUGAUAAGUCCUAUUUAUUAGAAACGGAAAAGUUCGUAGUUUCAUUUAAUGUUUUAUAAAAUGAUCUGUUUGGAUAAAAUUAAAAGAAUUUCUAAUUUGUUAUGCGUGAAAUGUUAAAGACGUACAAUUGAGAAAUGCAUCUAGGGGAGAAAUAUGCUGCGUAAUAUAAUCAAAAUUAAGAGUAUAAAAAAGGCCUAUCUCUUUAAAAAAAAUCUAGUCCAAGAUAUAUUUAUUACUCUCCUCAUUUAAUUGAUAUACACAUAAGAACCCAUAACUAAGUAAAUUACGAAAAAAAUUUCAACCUACUAAAUCCACUGCAUCACAGAGCUGGUUGGAUAAAAAAUUAGAUCCAUAUCUAACAUUGAUCAAAUCAACACCGCAUGUAAUUUGACCCUUAUGUUCUAUAAGUUAGCAUUUGCUAUAUUAUACAUAAUAAUUGGGUAAUUGGGAAUUGAGUGGGAAUGCUUUUAAACUUCUUGGAAUUUCUAUGUCCUUUUUGACAAGGGCGUCUAAAUUUUAUAAGUAUUACAUUAUUAACCUAGUAAUCAAGUGGUUUUAAGUACACUUUAUAGGCGACGUUAAGAUUUGUAGAUUAUCAGACCAGUUAAACGAUGAGUAAUAAUGAUGAAAAAUCACGAAAUGUAGUUUUAGAAAAUUCCUAAGAGGUUGACCAUGUAUAAAAGUGUCGAUCAUCGGUUCAUAUUAUCCAUCACCUAAAAUGUUAGUUUGGAUAGCAGUGUUCUAAAAUCUAGAUAGAACUGGUCGGUUCGGCUGGUUUGACUGUGACCACUUAAUAAGCAGUUCGGUUAAAUCAGCAAACGGGUGAACCAGCCCAAUUUUAAACAAAUCGGCUAUGUUUUUUUUUUCUUUCUUUUUUUUUUCUAUUUUUCAUUUUUUUCUUCACUAAUUUUAAUUUCAUUUAUGGUUCAUUUUUGCUAAUUAUAUUUUUUAUUGUGAAAAGUGAAACUUGAAAACUUAUAUUUAUUUAAUUUAGUUGAGAAAUCAGUAUUCCAUAAUUAAGUACGAUACUAACAUAUAUAUUAUCAUAUAUACAAUUUUUAAUAUAAUAAAAUUUAAAAAAUAAUUAAAUAUUUAUAACAUCAUGCUGAACUUAUUAGUCUCGGUUGAACUAGUAAUUCAUGAUCCAGUAAUAUUUUUCGAUUGUUGUUCAACUAAAAUUCUAAAAUAUCGACGUCCAAAAGUAUUCUAACUCAAUUCUUUUUUUUUUUUUUUGAUAAAUAAGGUAGCACGGCUCCCCUUCGUUUAUUUCAUGUAGAAAUAAACUUAGCUGAAAAUGUGAAUCAAGUAGGAUUCGAACUCUGGGUCUCAGGUACCAACCAUCAUCACUACAACAAAAACGGUCUAUAGCGACACUUUUAAAUGUAGGUACAUGUCAAAAAAAUGCUGCUAGCUAAAAUUACCGACACUUUUAAAAAGUGUUGCUAUAUGUGGGGUCGCUAGGUAUAUAGUGACAGUUAAAGAGUGUCGCUAUAACCUAAAAGAGUGCUGCUAAUUUACAAACACUUAUUUAAGUAUUUAGCAACCGCCGAAACUCUAUAUCGUUGGCUGCGGUGGCGGAGGAGAACGACAGGAAAGGCUCUUCGUCUAAAAUUUCAGUGGAUUGAGUGAAGAGAGAAGAAAAGAUGGUAAUUGAUUUUUCUCUUUUUUUUUUUUCUUUUCUGUUUGUAAUCGUGCCAAAUAGACCGGGUGUGGUGGGUUGAGUAGAGUAAUCUUUUAUUUUUGGUUGGAUUGGGCUUUAUAUUUAGGCAUUAGUAGAUAUUUUUUUAAAGUUUUAGCAUAAAUAGGACACUUACUCAAAAGUGUCCCAAACAUGUGUCGCUGUAAUCUAAUUCUGUUGUAGUGUUGCCACUUGCUCUAGGGACGGUCGGUAACUCAAUUCUAAUAAUUGCGCGACAAUUAUUUGAUUUGAUGUAGAAGUUAUGUGCCUCGUGAAACUCAUAACUGUUUCAAGCUGCUACUACAGAAAUCUCUAGUAACUUUUCUUUUUCUUUUUUUUUUUCUUCUUCCAACGGAGACAAACUAUUUAUUCUUCUGGGGCCAAAAGAGCCAGGAAUUUACCAACCCUAGUAGACAUGAAUGAAUCCCCCUCCAGAAUAUAAAAUAUAAAAUAAAAUAAAAUAAAAAGAAAAAAGAAAAGAAAAGAAAAGAAAAAAGUCUAUGAGCCAGCUCAUAGAGAGUCCUCAACUGCUUCUGCUUUUUUUUUCUCCUUUAGCAACCCCACAAGGCACAACAGUGCUUUUGAAGGAGUCCACACUUUGACUACAACUGGCUUGUGUUUUUCCCUAUCUCACCUUGACCUGUGUGCUUUGUGGUAGUGCACACAUUUUGAAGGCUCAAGUUUCAACUCCAACCAUGUGAGAUGGGUGGGUUAGGGCUUGUUUAAUGAAAUGCUAUUUAAAAGAUACUAUUAGCUAAUUGAAGCACUAUUUUUUAGUUACAUUAUUUACGUUUUCUCUUGGGCAGCUGAGUCAAAAGUUUCGCUUUUAGGCCUUAAAAUUAUAUUUGUCACAAUCUUUACUAACAAACUACCGAUAAUUACGAUCACUUGUGCAGAUUUUUGAUCAUUGGAUAGAUAUAUCUACGAGUUAGCACAAUAUGUUGCUUACUCCACUUGUUGUUAACUUGUUAUUGAACUGCGAUUUUAGAAGAACCACUUAAACAGGCAUAUGAUCACCAGGACAUAACUACUGUGAUAGCUUAAUUAACCUUAAUCGUGCUUAAGAACCAUUUAAGAUUCGCAUAAUAUUAGGAAUAAAUAGCCAGGAUCCAAACUAACCCCAUCUAAUAAUUGGGAGAGGAUAGUACAACCAUAAAUGACAAGCGUCAACAGAUCUCACCAGGGGAGUGUGGAAGAGAGGACCAUUGAAUUGGGUUCACGAGAUAGUGAUAUGGUGUGGGGGUUUAUAUAUAUAUAUAUAUAUAUAUAUAUAUAUAUAUAUAUAUAUAUAUAUAUAUAUAUAUAGAGAGAGAGAGAGAGAGAGAGAGAGAGAGAGAGAGAGAGAGAGAGAGAGAGAGAGAGAGAGUCCGGAUAGGAUACUAUCGAUAGCACAAAGAAUUUGGUGCUAUCGAGUUUUCUCCCGUUAGAUUUAACUCUUUAAUUAUUUUUACCCGUUAGAUUAUACUAUUCAACCAACCACUCACUCAAUCCUAAGGAGUUCACAUCAUCCUAACCACACAUUUCUUAAUCCAAGAGCUGAAAAACUAACAGUAUUUUAGCUAGUUCUCUCUCUCUCUCUCUCUCUCUCUCUCUCUAUAUAUAUAUAUAUAUAGAACUAGGCUAGAAUAUUAUUAAUAGUACUAAGUCAUUAGUGUUAUUAGGUUUUCGGCCCUUGGAUGAAACGAUAAGCGGUUAAGAUUAUGGUGGCUCCCUAGGGUUGAGUAGGUAGUUGAUUGAAUAAUAUGAUUUAAUGGGUGAAAAUGACCAAAAGGAGCGAAAAACUUGGUAGCAUCGAGUGCUUGGUACUAUCGAUAGCAUUGUAGCUGGAUUCUCUCUCUCUCUCUCUCUCUCUCUAUAUAUAUAGAGAGAGAGAGAUAUAUAUAUAUAUAUAGAGAGAGAGAGAGAGAGAGAGUGAGUCCAGCUACUAUACUAUCAAUAGUAUCAAACUCUUAGUAUUAUUGAGUUUUCUGCAAUUAGAUUCUUUGAUUAUUUUCACCCGUUAGAUUAUACUAUUCAACCAACUACCAACUCAACCUUAGGGGACCACUAUCAUCCUAACCGCACAUCCUUUCAUCCAACGGGCGAAAACUCAGAUAGCACAAAAUGUUUGGUACUAUCGAUAAUAUAAUAGCAUAUAUAUAUAUAUAUAUAUAUAUAUAUAUAUAUAAUAUAGAGAGAGAGAGAGAGAGAGAGAGAGAGAGAGAGAGAGAGUCCAGUGUUACUAUGCUAUAUAAUAGGCACGGAAGACAGUUGGUGCUACAAGUGUUCUGCCGGUAGUCUACGCAUUUUGAUCAUUUCACUCGUUAGAUCAUACUAUUUCAACCAAGCCACCUCACCACAACAGAAUUAGGUUAAUAGGGACACAUGUUUGGGACACUUUUUGAGUACAGUGUUCAUUUAUGACCGUAAACUUAAGAAAAUAUACUACUAAUCUUAAAGAUAAAGCCCAUCCAACCAACAAAUAAAAGAUUAACUCUAAACUCAACCCUACAAACCCAGCUCUAUUUGGGGCCUGAUUACUAAAUUCAGAAAAGAACCAAAGAAAAAAAACUCCAUUACAUCUUUUCUUCUCUCUCACAACUCAAUCUAACUGAAAAUUCUAGACGAAAGAGCUUUCCUUCGUUCGUCCUUUCCUCACCCGCCACGAGCCAACAGAGAUAGAUGUUUCGGCGGUGCUAAAUGCUUAAAUAAGUGUUUGUAAAUAGCAAGCACUCUUUUAGGUUAUAGCGACAACUCUUUAACUGUCAUAUAUAUUACCCUACGAGCCCCACAUAAUAGCAACACUUUUUAAAAGUGUCGUAAUUUACUAAGCAGCAGUUUUUUGACAUGUACCUAUCUUGAAAAGUGUCGCUAUAAAUGACCGUUUUUGUUGCCAUUUCUAGUGCCUAUUAAAACCCUUGGGGCCACAUCAUUCUAACCGCACAUCUUAACCAAUGGCCAAAACUUGGGUAGCACCAAUGAUUUGUGCUAUUAAUAGUAUUAUUAACCUAGUUAUAUAUAUAUAUAUAUAUAUAUAUAUAAUUAUAUAGAGCCGCCGGCUACUAUAUCUCUUAUAGCAACCGAACGUCUUUUGUUACUGCAUAAUUUUUUACCUUCGUUGUGUCUACUCUGUUAAUCAUUUUCACUCGUGUAGUAUUAUACUAUUCAACCACCCACACACGUCAACUCCUAGGAAACAUGGGCCCCUAUCACCUAACCGUAACACUCUUCAUCGCCCUACCAGCGCACAUUUUUCAGUCUCUGAACCGGUAAGACCGCGAAUUAGUUUAUGAGUACAUUAAGGCUCUAUACUCAUAUGAGUAUACGUCAGCCCUCACCCUAAAUAUAUAUAUACUGUAUAUAGCGCUGGGGCAACCUAUAGCUCUUAUGAUAUAACACAAUCCGUUCAACUCAUAAAUUUUUAACCGUUGAUAUGAUACGAGUAAUAUUGUAGCCUGGGUUAGGAUGGUGGUCUGAUUGGCUUCCCAACUUUAUGUAAUCAUAAUGUCCCUUAGGGUUGAGUGGAUAUGUUGGUUUGUAAUACUAUAAAAAAAAAAUUAACGGGUAAAAUGAUCAACUGGAAUAAUCUAAGGGCCGAAAUUAUGAGUAUGAAGAAAGACAAAUUUAACUCUAAAAAGUAUAAGUAGCUAAACUCAUCAGACAUAACUGAUAUUAAAAUAGACAUUUAUAUAAUAAAACAUAUAAUAUAUAUAGAUAUUAUAUUAUUAUAUAUAUAUAGAAUUAGGCCUACUAUGCUAUUAUGAGCACAAAGUCAUGUGCUACCAAAGUUGUUUGGCCAUUUGAAUUAAAGAGAUAUUACAUGGUUAGGAUAUGUGGCUCCUAACCGGGUUGAGUGAGUUGUUGGAUUGAUAUAGUAUGAUAAUCUAAUCGAUGAAAAUGAUCAAAAGGGCUACAUCUACGACGCGGAAAAAACUUGGUAGCUCAUAAAACAUAAUCUUCGUUGAUUAUUGGAAUCCAGACCUAGUAGCCGGCCGACUCUAAUAUAUAUACUAUGGCUUAUCAACAGGGCCAAAAACUUAUGAGUAUAAGAAGAACCAAAUAACCUAUAUAAAUAUAUCCCUUCGGACUCUCUCUCUCAUCUUCUCAGAUCGUUCACUAGGAUCCGAGUUAUUGCUUCGCCUCCAUUUUCCCCUUCAGUCCAUAUCCAUUACCAAUUCACAUUUACAAAGACACCCAUUAUUAUGACGAAUCAUCUAAAUAUCCAUAAUCAAAACCCUCUAACCCGUCAUACAAAACCCCAAGUUCGAAAUCCCUAGCUAUCGCUUUCAGGUCACCCAUCACCUGAAUUUAUACGGCAACACUCCCACAGCGUAAUAUAUUGGAAUAUUGAAUCGGAUAGCCAGAUAUUGGUCCAUCAUGAUAAUUGUAUUCAAAUAGCAGGCAGCCAUCGUCAGACAUAACAGUUUGACCAAUCACAAAUCAUCCUAGGAAAAUUCCUAGCAAACUUCCUAACGAUGUGAUUCAACAAUAUGAUUCGCGUUUCCUAGUAGAGCCAAGGCAACAGCCUUGCUCUUACUGCACCAAGGAAUCCAUCACUCCAAGAUAAACCAUACUGAGACGGACCAUGCUCUAUCAUCACGCCUUACAUAUCAGCAUCACAAUUUCCUUAUAAUCCUAAGUCCCUUGAAACAAAACGAAUCACGUUCCUUAAAUUCGAAGCGAUCCAUUGAGACUGCUGCCAAUGAAUAAGUUGUUGCUCUGCAAAGCUCAACUUUAGUCAAGUCAAAACAAAGCAGAUCCCCCGAUACCACAUAGUCCAAACUGAAGCACGUACUGACCUACUCAUCUCUCUUACCUUUAGUGCCUUAAGACCGAUGUGAUUCUUCUCUAUGGUAUCAAUCAUUUAACAACUGAUCCAUCUAAAAGUCAGAAUUUUAUAAGUUCUUAGACCAAACAAGAAGUUCAACAUCACAUCACUACCGAGCACAUAGCUCCUCAACAUGUCUAUUCAAAGUGAGAGACAACACUUAGUGUUGAUUACUCAUGAUGUCAGCCAAUAAUAUCGCGACGUAAGGAUAAACAAAUCCCAUCUCUUUCUUAAUAUAAAACAGUGCCCUUACAUGAUACGAUAGUAGGUAUGCUUACAUAAACCUGAAAUACAUAGCCGACUACUGCUGAGGACAAUAAAUGGAUUUUAAAUCACUAAACUGGUUUUUGUUGAUACCAAAACCUCAGGUUGACCUAGCAAUUCCCUCGCUAAUUCCCCGUGAGAAAGCUGUUAGAUCCAAUUGAUUCCAAAUCUAUCCUAAUAGAUAUCAAACGAAGAAUCGCAAAUCUCUCCAACGGGACGCAACCUCGUGUAUCUACCCUCCUCCUAAGCGUAGCUACCACGACCCUGUAUUAUCGAUUGAUCAAUCCCCUUGCCUUAAUUUAAACACAUUUAUUUUUCAAUAACUGAGAGGUCAAGCUCCAUUCCCAUCAUUGUCUGCCAUGAAGUCACUCAUCUCUAUCUUCAUAAGCAACCACACUGCAGCUCCGUGCACUCUAUGAUGUCUGCAAGCUUCUUUAUAAGAAGAGUCUCACGGCCAUACCAUAAAUAUUCCCCCUUCCGCUCAAAAAGUCCGGGCAGAAUAUUCCACUUUCACUUCUACCAAUGGAGGUCCGGAACUCGACUCAGUACUCAUUCAACAGCAUCAACUAGCCGAAGGAAGAAUACCGGCAGCUCUUCACUUCGGAUUCGAAGACAAUCCCUCUAACGUAAGAUAGGGGUUACGGCCUUACUCAUCAUCCGACGUUCUCCAUUUACAAUGCUUGAAAAAUCCUUUCUAGAAUUCACAUCACUGACCAAUCCGGUCAUAACCACAGCUGUUCCCAUACAUCACUACUCGAAUCCAGGUAUUGAAACACUGCGCUCGCUUUGGCGGUUCCCAGAUAUUUAUUGGCCUGACAUAUAACUGAACCAAAGGUGUAAUUAUAAACUUUCUCUAUCCCACCGAUCCGUCAUUGUGCAUAGAUCUGCACUUGUGCAUCGGAAACGAUUAGAUUGUAUCACUUGCAUCAUAAACAGUCUCUCCAAAAUUUAUAGAAUGCCACUUUAAGGUGCAGGUAUCUGCAAACAUUACUAAUAAAUACGUCCUGUCGUCGCAACAUCCAUUGUUCGAGUAGACCCGAAUAGGUUACUGUCGACAAUCUCCAUCUUCGCAUUCUCACAAAAAACUUUGAACUGAUUAGCCAAAGCAACAAUAUGUAGUACACCGCCCGCUGACUGAACUCCGCCCGAUCGCACCGAUUCACGGUUCGAUCCACGUCACUGGCGACGUACAACACCCGUCUCAUUUGACUGCUCCCGCCAAUCGCAACCCGCGUUCGCAGCAAUCUAACUUCAUCAAAUGGUAAACUAUAACACUAGACCCCCUAUCCAUAUAAAAUCAUGAAAGUAGAAAAUAGAACACAUAAUCGGUAUCCCUCACAUUCUGGCCAAUAAAGCGACGCGUACAUCAGUUCGCGCACAGCAGGUGCUCUAUUCUCUAUAUAUAAUAUCAUAUAUAUAUAUAUUAUAUAUAUAGUCCGACUACUAUACUAUCGUGCACGGAAGGCUCCGUGCUACCAAUUAUUUUGAUGGCGGCUGCCACUCGAUGAUCGCUCGUAUAACUUUGAUCUACUACUAUUGAAAAGUAUUUGGGAAACAAAUUUCAAAUUAUUUCAACAUAUUAUGAACUCAGUGAUCAAACGAUCUCAAAUUGACAAUUAUUGUCGAUGUGGGUGUUCUUGAAGUUUAACGGGUAAAACAAUCAAAUCGAUGAAAUUUUAUUGAAAAUUCUAUUUCCAUUAUUUAGUAGUAAGAUCAGUAUAUCUGAUCUUGAUUAAUAAUUUAUCAUCAUUUUUAUGAAUUUUAACUUUUUAGCCGUUCAAUUUAGAUAUACUUUUGUUGUGAUAGGUAAUAGUGAUCGAAAUUAUGAAAUUAAGUGUCUAAAUACUUUUAAUAGUGGUAGAUCAAGUCUAACGGCAGCCGAUCGUUGCGAUUUGAAAAUCGCAUCAUCGAAAAAACAACAUUGGUAGCAGCGGAGCCUCCCCGUGCUAUCGACAGUAUAGGCAGCCAGACAUAUAUAGUAUAUAUACUAUAUCUAUAUAUAUAUAUAUAUAAUUAUAUAUAUAUAUAUAUAUCAAUAUAAUAAUAUAUUAUACUAUAGUCUGGCUGGGGUACUAUCGAUAGCUACAGGAUUUGGUGGCUAUCGAGUUUUGUCGUCGUUUAGAUUUAAUUCUUUGAUUAUUUUUGCCCGUUUUAGAUUAAUACCUAUUCAACACCGCUACUCAGAAGCCCUAGGCCCCACAUCAUCCUAGACCACUCCAUUUCUCACAUCGCAGGGCAAAAUCACUAGCAGCUAAAUAGUUUGUGCUAUUGAAGUAUUAUCAGCCUAUAUAUAUACGUAAUACAAGCUAGGCUCGCUAUAUACUAUCGGUAGUCAUGUGACGCUCUCCGUGCUAAUCAAAGUUGUUUUCAAUGAUGCCGCUUCCAAAUCGAGAGAUUGGCAAAGGAGACUUGAUUUACACUAUUAAAAGUAUUUGAAACUAAUUUCCAUAAUUUUCGGUAUCAAUUUACCUAUUCAACUGAAUAGUCUAAAAAUAAAACGGCUGAAAAUAAAAUCUCAUAAAAAAUAAUGAUAGAAGACUUGAAUUUAAGGUCAGAGGUACUGAACGCUUACUCUAAAUAGUAAAAAGAAUUUUCUAUAAAAAUUUAUAAGCUGAUUUGAAUUUUUACAAUCCGGUUAAUUUACAAAUACAUACAUAUCUACAUUAAAAUUAUCAAUUUUGAGACCCUUUGAUACUAGCCAAAGAUGUCGAAAAUUCUGAAAUUUAAGAGUUUCCAAAUACUGUUUAAUAGUGUAGAUUAACUCUAAUGGCCGAUCGUCGAUUUGGAAGCCGCAUUCAUCGAAAACAAACUUGGUAGCAGGUAAGCCUCCGUGCCUACCGAUAGUAUAGCAGCUGAACUCUCUUCUCUCUCUCUCUCUCUCUCGCCUUCUCUCUCUCUCUCGCGUUCCCUCCAGUCAUCCUCUCUCUCUCUUCUCUAUUAUAUAUAUAUUUAUAGAGUCCGCCGGCUGCUAUCUAUUGAUAGGGGGCACCAACCACUUGUGCUAAUCAAGUUUUCUGGCGCCGUUAGAGUUAACCCCUUUGAUUAUUUUAACCGUUAGAUUAUACUAUUCACCAACUCACCCACCUCAACCUAAGGGCCCACAUCAGUCUAACGUUACAUUUUUUCAAUCCAAUUGGCUUAAAAAACUAAUAGGCACCAAAAGACUUGGUGCUAUUCGAUAGUAUUCCAGUCUAGUAUACUAUAUAUAUAGUAUAUAUAUAUAUAUAUUAUAUAUUAUCAUAUAUAGAAUACGCUACUAUGCUAUUUUAAUAGCACUUAAGUCAUUGGUGCACUAAUGAUUUUUGGCCAUUGAGAUCUAGCAGUAUGUGUGGUUAGGAUGAUGUGGGUCCACUAGGCUGAGUGGGGGUUGGUUGAUAGUAUGGACUAACGGUGAAAGAUCACAAAGGUAGAUCUAACGGCGGAAAACUGUAGUAUCCAAGUGCCUUGCGUGCUAUUAAUAGCAAUAGUAGCCGACUCUAUAUAAUAAUAUACUAUAUAUAUAGAGUAUAUGCCGGGCUACUAUACUCCUUGAUAGUAUAGACCCUUGUACUUAUAAAUUUUAACCAUUGAUUAAUGGGUUAUGGUAGGAUGAUGGUAGUACACACAACCGCACUUAAGAAUGAUAUGGUACCCAGGGGUUGAGUGGUAGUUUGGUUGGAAUCAGUAUGAAUCUAACGGAUAAAAAUGAUCAAUAAAAUAAAUGCUAAGGACGCGAAAGACUUAUAGUAUAUAGGAACCAAUACUCAUACAAGUAUAGUAGCGCAGACUCUCUCUCUCUCUCGACAGCUACUUGUGUCUCUCACCCAGGAUAAUCUCAUCUCUCUGCUCUCUCCUAUAUAUUAAUAUAUAUUAUAAUAUAUAGCCGUGAGGCUAACAAUAUGCUUUCGAAAGGCAAUGGAGCCUUUUUGUGUUUGCCAGUAUCGUUUUCGAUAGUUCGCGAUUUCGAAUGUCGGAUGGCUCCGUUAAACUUGAUUUAGAGUAUUUGACAAUACCUAGAAAAUAAACUUUAAAUGAUUUUUUGAUAUCAAAAUUUUGCCCUAGUGAAUCGAAGGAACUGCAAAUCAAUAAUUUUAAAGGCGCGUGGUGAGGCGUUUGCAAGUUUAAACGGUAAGACAAAUAUAUCAAUCACGUGCAAAUUUGAAUAGAAAAUUCUUUAAGCUAUAAUAAAACAAGAUCAAGAUUUUUGAUCUAGAAAUUUUAAUGUCAUAUAUCACGUUUUGUAAGAUUUAUUUUCAGCUGUGAUUUGAAUCCGCCUUAGUUCACAUAGGCAAAUUGAAUAUUGAAAAAUCAUACAAUUUAUUUUCUAGGUACUUUUCGAGUAACUUCCAAGAUUAGUUUAACGGAGCCAAUUCGACGAUGUCGAAAAGUUCUAUAUUAUAAUAUAUAGAUAUUAUAUAUAUAUAUAUUUAUAUAUAUAUAUAUAUAUAUAUAUAUAUAUAUAAUAUAUAUAUACUAUAUAUAUAUUCUACCACUACCUAGAGAGAGAGAGAGAGUACCUCCCCUAAACACUCUGUCUCUGUCGUAUUACUCUUUAUUAAAUAUUAAGGAGUGGGGUUAAAGAUGAAUAGAGUGUGGGAUAUACGGUUGUUAUCUGCAAAGGCAAUGCUGCUAUAUAUGUAGUACAUUUGUCCAAGGAUCACCUAAAAACCUAUAGACAAGGUAUAAAAUUUAUCUCUUCUAUAUAUUUACCUGCUAGUCUUAUUAAGUUUUUUAUAUCAAAAUAACAAUGCAUGUACAUUCCAAAAAAGGAUAUAAAUUUACACCCGACCAUCAAAAAGGCCCUUAAUUAUUGCAUUCUUGUCUCGUCAACAUUUUUCAAUUAUAUUAUUACAAAGGUUUUCAAGUCUGAAUCCUGCUAUGUUGCUAGUCUCGUUUUAUAAGAAAUUGUUAUUUAAAAGACCAUGAUUUUGAACACCUAGAUCUUCUGAUUGUCAUAGAACACAUCUAAUAAUUAGAUUCUAAACUUCAAAUGAUCUCUCGUAGAAUUUUAGAUGUGCGAUGUAUAAGAUAUAUCAAUAGGCAAUGUGUAGCGAAUAAUUUUUAGGGAGAAAGUGGGGUUUGAUUAGCUUCCCCACUCAUAAAAUGUUAUAUGAGGCAAGCUUGCCGAGAGCAGUACCGACUGCCUGCUGUACCGUCCCCAAGUCCUUGACGCUUGACCUGGUGGCAGCAGUUUUUACGAAAACAACGCCAGUGUCCGGUGACCACCGUUCGUUCGUAGUUCGUUCGCGCCAGUGUCCGGUCACUACCGUUCGUUCGUAGUUCGUUCGCACCUAACGUAGUUGGUUAAGAAUUUAAAACUAGGGCUACUAUACUCUUAUGAGUAUAGCUCAUUUUGUAUUCAUAAAUUUUUAAUUAUUGGAUAAAGAGAUGUGCGGUUAAGAUGAUAGCGGUCCCUUAAAAUUGAGUAGGUAGUUGGUUGAAUAGUAUGAUCUAACGGGUGGAAAUGAUCAAAAAAAUAGACCUAACGAUAAAAAAUUCAAGAGUAUAAAGGGCACUAUACCAAUAAGAGUAUAGUAGCCGGACUCAUAAUUUAAUGAUUAUUAUCUGAGUUGUCGAAUUCGAAAACUAGUUGUCCUCAUAGUAAAAUAAAAAUAAAAGGAUUAAUUGUAUACAGUUUUCUGUAAAUAUAUCGAAUGAUAAAUAAAUUCUUACAAAGUUCAAUUUUUUAUCUUUAUUCCUUUAAAAGUCUGAUGAUAUUGAUUUUGUUACCGUUAGAGCACAGUUUAUUUUUUUACAGUGGUUAAGUGAAAUGACAUUUUUAUCCUUAUAAAUUUAUCUCUCAAGAAAUUCCAACUGUUAGAAUUAUAUAGAAAUGUCAUCCUCAAAAAUAUUUUACCUAAUAAUAUAAAAGGGAUAAAAAAAAUCAAUUUAACUCAUUUACUAACUAAGAUUAAGUAUUUUACUAAUAGUUAACUAUAUUUUUCUAAUGGAUCCUAAUAGUAGGGGUAUAUUUGAAAACGAGAGGACUUUUGGAGGGAUAAAAGAUGAAAAUAAAAAAUUGAAAUUUGCAUAAAUAUCUGCUAUUCGAUAUAUGUACAGAAAGCUGUACGCAAUUAACCUAAAAUAAAAUUACAUGAUAAUUAAGUGUAAUAUUUUUGAACCACGGAAUAACAAAAUAAGAAUACGCUAAAUCACACAGAGUAGGGGAAAUUGAAGGUUUUUUCUUUAUUUAAUUCCCAUGUUAAGAAGAAUCACAGGAUAGGUGUGGACAAAGUGGUGUCGAGCUCGGGCCAAUGCUGCAGAUCUAAACUCAGACUUGGAUCAAAGAAAGAAUAUUGGAGAAUGGAGAUCCCAAGACAAGUUUGUGUGUGGUACCCAGCACACAUGCAUCAUGAUUCUACAUCGAGAUCCAACACAUAUACAUAUGUUCAAAAUUCAUAACACAACAAAAAGUCUCUUCCACAACAUAUUAUGUAGCAUCACAGAUCUAGAGAUCUAGAGAGAGAGAGAGAGAGAGAGAGAGAGAGAGAGAGAGAGAGAGUGUGGAGAAAUUAUUGCUUGGACUAUGAUCUACAUAUAUGUAGUACGAAGUUUCCAGAAACUCAAAUUUACAGAAUUUUAAAGUUAAAUGUAUACAAUUAGAUAAAAGGUACAACACAAAAGCUUCUAUCCUAAAAGUUAUACUCUUUUUACUUUCUAACUCAUAUUAGAGUUUUGAAUUAAUUUCAUACAGGUCUCUACUAGCAUAGUAAAUGACAAAUAUAUUUCUACAAAGUUCAACUUUUAUAUAUUGUCCAUACAAAAGUCUCGAUAUUUUCAAAUAUAUCCUUACCGUUAGAAUCCGUUAGAAAAAAUUAAUUCAAAACUCUAAUAUGAGUUAGAAAGUAAAAAGAGUUUUGAAUUAAUUUCAUACAGGUCUCUACUAGCAUAGUAAAUGACAAAUAUAUUUCUACAAAGUUCAACUUUUAUAUAUUGUCCAUACAAAAGUCUCGAUAUUUUCAAAUAUAUCCUUACCGUUAGAAUCCGUUAGAAAAAAUUAAUUAACCAUAGAUUAAAUACUUAACACUGGUUAGUUUUUGACAUUUUUCCUCUUUUUAUAUUAUAUUGUUAUGCCUUUUGGAGGGAUACAUUUGUGACAAUAAAAUUGAAAAUAUAAACAGUUUUAUAACGGUAAUAAACUAGAAGGAUAUAUCAGGGCUUUUAUAUGAAUAACAUAUAAAAGUUGAACUUUGUAGGGAUAUAUUUAUUAUUCAUUAUAUUUGUAGGGACCUGUAUGAAAUUAAUUCUAAAUCUUUUGACAAUAUCCCCAAUCAAAAGUUGGCUUAAAAGGCCGGAAUUUUGAUUUGUAUUUUUUUUUUUUUUUUUUUUUGAGAGAUAGAUAGCACGCUGUUCGUUUCGUUUAUUUCAUUUAGAAAUAAACUUGGUUGGAAAUGUGAAUCGACUAGGAUUUUGAUUUGUAUUUCAAAAUGGACUAAGCUAGAUAGGAAUCGAAUGAAACCCAAUCUAAGCAAAACUAAAUUGAAACGAGGCUUGACUAGAAUUAAACUGGAGCAUUAGCAUAAAAUUGCGGAUGGGAAAAUCGAACUCAGAAUCUCUUAAGAUGGAAGAAACGUAGGACAGGCUCUUAUACCAUAUUACGCAAAGGAUCAAUCCAGUAAUAAAUAAUCUAGAAUUCGUCUUAGCAAUUAACCUCCUUCUUUGGACAUCACGAGGUUCAUGAGCAUGGUUUAUCUAAUAUCCACGGUUCAUCUUAUAUUCACCAUGCAUGCGAUCAGAUUCGUAAUGACGAACUAAUCUUAAAUUGUUUCAUACUAAAUUGAUCUUUUGUAACAUUCAAGACAUCAAGCUUAGGAAUUUGGUAGAGGAGAGAGAGAGAGAGAGAGAGAGAGAGAGAGAGAGAGAGGGGUUUGUUAAUUAGGGUUUGUCUCUUCUUUGGUCCUCUUUCUAUAAAACCAAUUGCUUUUACUAUCUACUGCAGCAGCAGCAGGAAGCAGCAGCAGCAGCGCAUGGAGGGUCCUUUUUACACUGCCCAUUCCGCCAGUCUUCACAUGCCUCUCCAGGCCCCAUUCCCAGCCUGGGCCCCUGCUCCUACAAAGAGAAAUUGCUGCCCGCACCAACUGCACCACAUUACCUGUGACACACAUCCUUAGUUACAUUUUUUGUAUACAUGCAUGAUGCAUAUGCAUCUUAAAGAUCUUAAAGAUCAGAAGUAGUUUGAUCUCUUCCAUUGUAGAGCUUUUCUAGCGCUUCUAUAUGCUGCAAAAAAAUAAGAAUUGAGAUUCUAAUACCCAUAUAUACCCAUAUUCAGAAACUUCAAUUUGAUACUUCCACUGUUUUGCAAUAAAGAAGUCUUCGCAUUAACGUAAUCCCAAGGCAAACGUGCAGAGAGUAGUAUAUAUAAUUCGACUCGUAGGUGUUGAAUAUAAAAAUAUUAAAAAACUGUUCUUUAAGCUAUCGUUUAGUUCGGGAAAUAAGCUAUUUUAGGCUAUCCCUGGUAUAGGUACAACUUUAGUUAAUAACAAUUAGAUAAUUAAAUUAGUCAAAAUAUUAAUUAAUUAAUCAAUAUGAAUAUUGGUUAUGUCAAAUAAUUAAUUAAUUAAUUAAUAAUUAUUUAAUUAGCAAAUUAAUUAAAAUAAUAAAUUUAAUAACUCAAAUAGCUAAUUAAAUAUUUAUUAGAGUAAUAAAUUAAGUACUACAAUUAAUGAUUUUAUAAUAAAAAUAAUAUAUUAUAAUAUAUAACAUAUUAUGUCUAUAUAAUUUAAUUUUAAUUCAAUUUAUAAUUUAAUAAAACUUUGGAAUAGCAUUAUUCUACCAAAAUGGUAGAACAGUAAAUUACAAACUAUUCCGAAAUAGUCGGGAAUAGCAAUGUUUGAGCAGGAUAAAAUAUUUCAGCCCAAAUACACUCCGUUUGGUCGGAUAGUGGGAUAACUUUCGUUAUCCCUGUUUUAUCCCCGAACCAAACGGGGCCUGAUAGCUUAAAUUACAUGAAAAUAAUGUUUGCUUCAUGCAAUUUAACAUAGUAUCAGUGUAUGAGGUUCCGAAUUGGGAUUUCGUUUAAUUCAUAUCCCUAUAAAAAGUUUCAAUUUUAGAGGUGAAAAAGAGUGUUGAAUACAAAAAUAUAAAAGUACUGUUUUCUAACAGAUCAAAAUAUUGUAACACGCAUAUUUAUCUAACAAAUAAGCUUUUAUUUUUGAAGUAUAGGUGCACAUAUGGUGGUACAUCAAGUGCAAGCAAAAAUUUCUCCUACUACAGCAUUUCCCUUCUAAAAGGGAAAUUAGAGCUCUCAUUGCAUAUUCUCAAUACAAAUGGACCAAAUAGGUGUUCUAUAUAAUAAAAGAAAAAACUUCAAAUACCACCCUUAUGGUUUGGCACUUUUCGCUUUAGUACCCUGUGGUUUAAAAUGUAUCAAUUUAGUAUCCUGUGGUUUUGCAUUUUCUCACUUUAGUUCCCUGUGGUUUAAAGUAUAUCAAUUUAGUACUCUGUGGUUUCAUUUUUUUCUUUUCGUCUCAGCUCCUCUGUUAAUAUUUCUUUAAAUUAUAUACAAAAAACUUUAGAUACCCUGCAUAAGUUUAUUUAAUAUUUACUUUAGUACCCUUUUGUUUUAACUUUGUCACUGAUUUUUUUUUCCUCCAUUAAUAUUUCAUUAAAUUAUAUACGAAAAACUUCAGAUACCCUACAUAGGUUUAUCGAAUAUUUACAUUAGUACCCUUUAGUUUUAACUCUAUCACUGAUUUAAUGAAAAAAAAAAUAGUGAAAUAGAUAAUAAAAAGAAAAAAAUAAAACCACAGGGUACUAACUUGAUACACUUUAAACUAUAGGAUAUUCAAGUGAGAAAGUGCGAAGCCACAGGGGUUAAAUUGAUACAUUUUAAACCACAAAGUACUAAAGUGAGAAAGUGUGAAACCAAGUGCAGGUAUUUGAAGUUUACCCAUAAUAAAAAGAGUGAGAGUGUGUUGAGUACUUUAGAAAUUCUCUGUGUAGUAGUAGUAGGUUCCUUAGAAGGCUCUGUGUACAAAGUUGAGAGGGACGUAAAGCAAAACCCUUUUUCUUUUGCAGAGAGAGGCAUCAAAAGGGUGCAGGGGGGAGAUAAUGAGCAUGCAAAAUUUCAAUACAAAAGAAGAGUGGACAUGUAAAAUAAAAUACAAAAAAUAAAAAAAAGUAUUUUGUGUGCUUAGACACACUUUUUUGUCAGGUUUUUUAGUACAAUAAUUUUUUCCUAAAAUUUUAUUCUACAAAUAGAAAUGUUAAAUUUUUAUUUAUAAAUAUGGUCUUAUAAAAGCGGUGAAUGGUUCACCGCUUUUAUUCUUUUUUCACUCCUAAUGAGAAGUAAUGAAUACGGCGAAUCAUUCACCGCAUUUAGAAUUCUAUUUUUAUAAUUAUUUUUUAACAAAAAUUAUUUUUAUAAUUAUAAAAAUCGAUAGGAUUAUUUAUAAAUAAAAUUCCUUUUUUGUCUCUAUGCAACUCAGAACUUUGUCCUUUCCUUCGCACGCAAUGUUUUGAGGGGGAGUGCAUGGUCUUGACCGAAUCAUGUUGUUGUCAACAGGUUAAGCUGGAUCCAAUACAUUAGGGUGAUGAUAUGGUCAAUUUGGAGUGUUGUUUAUACAUAAAAACCUAAAUUUGGAACAUAGGUGCAUGUUUGUAAUUUACAUGUAUAUUAUUUUGUAGACAAUUAUUCAUUUGCAUUUUACGAACCGGUGGUCUGGUUGAAAAGUAUCAUCGGAUUCAUCGAGUCGUGCUUUUAACAAACAUUUGAAUGCUUAAAUAUGUGACUUUUUUUUUAUAGUUGCGUACUCUGGAGCUGGGAUAUCAACUACUAAGACUUUCGCAAGUUGCCCUACAAAUAAUACCAUAAAUUAGAAUGAACAACAGAGAAUUCCAGUGUGAGAAUAACUGAGUUCGAGUCACGCCCAUCCCUAAAUUGCUAUGACAAAAUUGAGCCACUGUAGGAGAUACUUGAGUUCUAGUUCCUGCAGUAAGGUAAGGUUCAGAUGCAGAGAAAAAGGCAAUCUAUAUGUUAUUAAGAUAAAAACAUCCGGGUCUUACCUAAAUUACGGAUCAUUUGAAUUUGAUUACUGAAUCUUUCAAAAUUUAGAUUUUAUUAUCUAAUUUUUCAAUUUAUUUUAGUUGAGUCGGUCAAUAGGACUUUGGCUCUAAAAUUUAAAUUAAUUACUUAUUUUUAUAAACUUAUAAUUAUAAAAAUUAUAUAAAAUAUAGUAACUAAAUUUGUAAAGAUAAAAAACACGCAUUCAAGUUUUAAAAUCAAAGUAUUGUUGACUGACUCAAAUCAAAUAAAUCGAAAGAUUAGAUAAUAUAAUUAAAAUUUUAAAAAGUUGGAUAGCUAGAUCCAAAUAAUCUAUAGUUUAACUAAGAUUCAUACGUUUUUAUCUAUUAUUAAAAUAAACUGAAAAAUCAAGAAGAAAAUGAGGUACCUAUCAAACUUGAGGCACCAAUAAUUUCAUUCAUUAUAUAUAUGAUGGGACCAAUAACAAAUUAAAUUUUCAUAUUUCAAAAACCAUCACUAAAAUUUAGUUUGGUACCAAAAUUCGUGUUUAUUUCUCUUGGCUUCUUCCUUUGGUGGGUCACGUACGAAAAUGUUUCUUUCUUUUCCAAACUGGAAAAAUUUUCUCCAUUUAUAUAAAUGAAAUAUUAGUUGUCUUUAGAACCGUAUUGGUGUUUUAAAUGUCAACUCUGUCCCUCUAGAUUGUGCUAUGUACUAUGACAAUUCAUUUAAUUAAUUUUGUCUCUCACUAAAAGUAGAUACAAAACUGUAACUAUUCAAAAGGAGAUGAACGAAACAAGAAGAGAUAGUAGAUCCAAAAGAUAAUUACUCGCGCUGAUCGUACCUAGCUAGUGCAGUUGAUCGAGGGUCUGAUAGCCCCUAUCUAAAGUUAUAAAUUCGAAAUUUAGUUAUUUUAUAUUUUUAGCUGAGUUCAUAAAUAUAUAUNGGAGAUUUAUAAACUUCACACAUGAUUUAUGAAUAAAUUAUUUGCACUACUUGUUCGCGAAGCUUAGUUUUGAUAAAUCCAACAUUACAGAUCUCAAAAUUUCUGAAUUAUUUUACUUUAUUUUCUACUUUUGUGAAACAUUUGAUUCAUCUGUACAUUCGUUCUCCGUGAAUUUAUGGGCAUUUCAUUUAUCUCAUUUUUGUUCGUCGUUUGCUUUCCAAUAUUAAAAGAACCAUAAUUCGCUAUGUAAUAAGAUUGAAAUAUGAGAUGAGAAAGUGUUUGUAGUCAACAAAUAUAAGUAUAUAGCCACCCCCUGUUUAAGCAAAUAUUUUUCUAAUAUAAAUAAAUAAGAACACGAGUUCAUAUAACUUUUUUUUAGAAAUUUAGAAUAUCAAAUAUCAAAUUUUAAAUUCGAGACCUAUAGUAUAGUUAUUUUGAAUAUGAAAGAUAGAAAUAUUAUUUUCUAGAAGUUUAAGCUUUCAAAAAUAUAAUUUGCUAAAAUUCAGAUAUAAAAAAAUAAUUUUAUCCUAUUUAACAAAGAAAAAUACUACUUGUAUAUCUAUAUACAAGUGUCAUUGAUAUAACUUCUUUUUUCUAAAAUGUAUAAAUAAUAAUUUUUUAAAUAACUCUUUAGAAUAUAUAAAAUAUAAAAUAUAUUUUUAGUCUAAAUAGGUGUUUGGUCUAACUUUUGAAAAAUAAUUUUAGGUCCAAAAGUAAUUUUCGGCUUAAUAGAGCGUUUAACAACUUCACUCAGUUUUCUAGUUUUCAAGCCCCAAAAUUAGAAACAACUAACACUUUGAUUUUGAAAUCUGAUUUUGAUUUCAAACACAAGGUUAAAUUUAUAUUUUAUAUUUUAUAUUUAAAUUCUUUUAAUUUAAAAUUUUAACUUUUAAAUUUUGAAUUGUAAAGUUUAAAUUUUAGAUAUUAAAGUUCAAAUCAAAUUUUAAAUUUCAAAUUAAAAAUUAAGAUAAAAUUUAAUUUUUUUAAAAAAAAUUAGAAUUUAAAAUGUGUAAUAUAAAAUUAUAAAUUUUGAUUUUCAAAAUUGAAAUUUCAAAUUUCUAAAAUUACAAAUUUAAAUUUUAAAUUUGUAAUUUUAAAUUAUAAAAUAUAAAUUUUAAUUUUAAAUGUUAAAUAUUCAAAUUUUAAAUUUUAAUUUCAAGUUUCAAAUAUAAAUUUUAAAUCCUAAAUUGAAAAAUUAAGUUUAAAUUUAAAAAAAUAAUUUUAAAAUAAUUUAUUUUUUAUAUUUUAUUAUAUUUUAAAUUAAAAUAUCGAAAUUCAGAUAUUUUUGCAAACUUAAAAUUUAAAAUUUCGGUUCAAAAUUUUAAUUUAAAUUGAAAUUGUAAAGUAUUUUAAAAUAAAAUUCAUAAAAAAAUUAUUGUUUACAAAUAGUAAAAAAUUUUUGCCAGAACAGUUUCUGUGAAAAGUUACUUUACAUAUAAACCCAACCAAGUACUGUACAACUUUUAACAAAAACUAAUUCUCAAAAUUGAAAUUAAUUUUACAAAAAUUUAUUUUUUUGAGAAUCUAUUCGAGGGCCUGGCCAAAUGUGUUCUAUAAGUGCGGACAGACAGCACGAGGAUGCCGAUUUGCUCUACAUCGACAAGCCAGCUGUCAUCCGAAUAUAAAUAUUUUUUAUUUUUAUUUUUAUUUUUUUUGGAUAUCAGUUUGACUUGUCAACCGCAUAAGACAAGUUCUUCUUUUUCUUGCGUGAGAAAAGCAAAGGACAUUGUCACUUUGUCCCUCGAAGAUCCUCAAUAGUCAACAUGGAACGUAGGUUUACUUAUUUAAUAAUAAUAACAAAUUAUCUUAAAAUUUUAUUUAUAUAUAUAUUUUUUUAUUAGGGAUGUACAUUUUACGCGACCUCUCAGUAAUAUAUUCACGAAAAUUUUAAUAAGUUUUAGGCUUCGUUUGAUUCGGAGUUAAGUAGAAACUAAUUAUUUCAGGAAUAGGGUUAAGUUCAGGGUUAAGAUAAGGUUAGAAAAUUUUUUUAUUUGGUUGAGAAUUGGGUUUAGUUCAGAUAUAAACAAAAUAGUGUUUGGUUGGAAUAGGUGGAAUAAAAAGGUUAGUGGGUAGUUAUAAAUAUAAAAUAAUAAUUUUGCCCAAAUUAUUAUAUUUGAAUUUAAAUUUUUUAUUUUAUAUUUAAAAUUUUAAAUUUAAAUAGAUAAUUUUUAAAAUUAAAAAUUCAAAAUUAAACCCUAUAUUUUUAAAUCUCAAAUUUAAAAUUUUAAAUAUAAAAUAUUAAAAUUUUUAAGAUUAUAAAUUAUAAAUUUUUAAAAUUUCAAAUAUAAAAUAUUAAAUUUAAAAUUUAAAUAAUUAAAAAUAACAAUUUAAAAUUUAACAUUUUAAAAAAUAAAUAUUAAUUUUAAGAUUGCAAAUUAUACAUUUUUAAAAUUUUAAAUGUAAAAUGUCAAAUUUAAAAUUUAAAUAAGUAAAAAUAAAAUUUAAAAUUUAAAAUUUAAAAAUAAUAAUAUAAAUUUUUAGAUUAAAAUUUAUAAAUUUUUAAAAUUUAAAAAAUAGAAAUUUAUAUUUAUAUUUAAAAAUUAAAUUAGGGUGGAUUAACUUAAUCCCAUCCCAAUCUAUUGAAAGAUUAAGGUGUAUGGUUUAGGGGACAAAAAUUUUGUGGGCACCGUCCCCAAACUGACAGUGCGGAUGGGCGCCAUGUGGCCUGUCCAACGGCCACCCAGGAAAGAAAAAAAAAAUAAAAAAUUAGCGCUAUAAACAGUGUUUAUAGAGAGAAAGUAGUAGAGGAAGUGAAAAGACAACCACCCGAUGAGUCACAUGGCGUCCAUCCGCACAGUCUCCUCAAACUAUUAGUCAUCUAAAUUUUUAAAAUUUUUAUUUUACUAUCUAAUUUUUUAAUUUGUUUGAUUUGAAUCAGUCGAUAGCACUCUGACUUCAAAUUUAAUAAUGGACUAUUUUGAAUUGACUUUUAAAAUUUUACUUUUAUUAUCUAAUCUUUUAAUUUAUUUGAGUUAAGUCGGUACUCAAUAAUACUUUGGCUUCAAAUUUUAAGUAAAUUACUUAGUUUAGUAAAUUUAAAGUUGCAAAAAUUGUAUGAAGUAUACUAACUAAACCUAUAAAGAUAUACGUUAUAUUUGAAUUUUGAAGUCAAAAUGCCAUUGAAUGAAUUAAAUCAAAAAUUGAAAUACUGGAUAGUAAAACUAAAAUUUUGAAAAUUAAGUAGCCAAUUGAAAAUGGUCCAUUAUUCGGAUAAAUUCUAUACUUUUUUAUUAAAUUUUGUAUAAAGUUAGACAUUAAGAGUUCAUAUUUUGAUCCUCAAAAUAUUUUAACUUUUAUAAUUUUGUUAGAAAGCAUAUUUUUUCUAAGAGCGUUUUAUCUUAUCCUCAAAAAAAGAGUGAUGGUGAUAUAUUGUAUAAUCAUUUAAACAUUUAAUCACACGUCUCAUUUACCAAAUAUUUUAAAUAUUUCCUGUGAAAAGUAUAUCGCAGGAAUACAUCAAAUAACUUGUUCCUAUAAUCAAAUAGCGCAUACUAAGUCAUAAUUAUUAUCAAUUUUUAGGAUAACUGUUGUAUUUGGUAAUAUUAAAAAUAUCUUCUAAAAUGUGUAAAAGCUUUUUAAAAAAUAACUAAUUUUUUACACGAUAGAGCAUGAAAUGAAAUGCUGAGCUCGAAUUCUUAUGAUAGACUCUCAGUUUAAUUUAAUUUUAUCAUAUUCUUCUAUUUUAUUUAAGUUCACAUGUUACAUCUCUCCGAAAUGUAGAAAUGUAUUAAAUGCGGGUUCUCCAACUUAUUUAAUUGUCAAUUCUUAUAAUAUUAUUGUACAUAUAGCUACUGUUUUCUACUAUAGUAAAGGAGGGUUUGCGGGGACCGUAGAAUGACACAUGUCCCCGCGGCCCUCCCUUUUUCUCUCUUCCUCUAUAAAUAUAACAAUAUAUAAUAUAUAAAUUUUUAAAUUUUAAAUUUUGGAUAUCAAAAUUUUUAAUUUUUAAUUUUUAAUUUCAAAUUUGAAAGUUUCAAAUUCCAAAUUUCAUGUUUCAAAUUCCAAAUUCGUAAAAUUUUCUAAUAUUAUUUUCAAAUUUUAAACUUCAAUUUUAAAUUUUUAAAUCUCUAAACCCCAAAACCUUAAACCCUGAACCCUAUAAAAAAAUUAAUUAACUGUAUAUAUAAAAUAAUUAAUUAAUUUUAUUAAUAGUAUAUUUAAUAAAUUACAUUAUGAAAUCUAAUCCAAUGGAUACCUAAAUCACGUAAAAUGUCAAUGUAUAAAACAAAAUUGCAGAAUUUAAAUUUCUAGAAUAAAAUAUUAGAAAUAUAGUUUGUUUCUGUAUAUAUAUAAUUAAUUAAUUUUAUUAAGCAAUUUCUUCCACUAUUUUAUUUCUCUUUUAUUUAUUGAUGUAUUUAAAUUAUUUUAAUAGAUUUUUCUCAAAUCUUUUUUACAUAAAUCUUUAUGAAACAAUUUAAUUACUAAUAAGCUGUAAUACAAAUUUACGUUUGCUGCACAUAUACCAAUUUUAAUCAGUUUUAUUUUAAUAGAUAUAUAUAUAUUAAGUUAUUAUCCACGCCGGUGAUUUCAUUUGAAUAUUAAUUAUUAUAUAUUUUAAUAUUUAAAUAUUAAAAUUUAAUUAAAUAAAUAUGAUCUAGGGAUUUCUCGCAUUGGAUUACAUUUUAAUAAGUUUUGAGAAAAGAAAAUCUAUUUACUGAAUAUCAAAUAGUUCUCCCGUGAAUAACACGCAAAUAUUAUAAUUGUAUAAAAAAAUAGAAAAAUCAAAAUAUAUAACAGUAUUAUUACCUCAAAUACGUACGCUGAAAUAUAUAAAUUUACCAAAACUAUCACCUGCUAUCUUUUGAUUUGACUAUCUAAUCUUUAUAACUUUUUUUUUUUACUAUCUAAUCUUUUAAUUUACUUAAUUUGAGUCAAUUAGUGACUUUUUAACUUAAAAAUUUGAAUACAAUAUUGUUUAUCUCUAUGGGGUUUAGUUAAUAUAUUUUAUGCCAUUUGCGCAAUUAUAAAUUUAUUAAAAUAAUUUGUAUAAAUUUUGUAUUCAAAGAGCCAUCAAAUUAUUUAAAUUAAAUAAAUUCACAUGUUAGACACUAAAAUCAAAAUUUUAAAAGUUUGGACAGUCGAAUCAAAAUGAUCUAUUGUCCAUGUAAAUUCUAUAUAUUUUUUUCAUCUGUUGUCUUUAAAAUUUUCGACCUUAUAACCAACUUUCAAACAUUUUAGCCUAUUAAUCAGGUAUUUCACUAACAAAAAUUCUUAAUAUUUAAAGGCUAAAAUAUAUAAAAUUUUUCUGUAAAUGUCUUUUUUUAAUUGUUUCCUCUUAAAGUUCAAAAAUCUAUAGUUUGACUCAUUCAAAUUACAUGAGUAUUUUCAGUAGAAUACAAUAUUAAUGAAGAGAAUGCAGUGACCAAAUUCUCCAUAUUUGUUUUACAAGAUAAAAAUAAUUUUAAUAUAUUUUUCUUAUUUUUCAAUAUAAUUUUAGUGUAUUAUGAAAUUAAUAAAAUAAUGAUAGAAUUCUAACGGAGAAAUACUAAAUUUAUUAAUUUAAAAUUUUAAGAGGAUAAAUUAUAAGAAAUGCAGAUUAUUGAAAUUAAAAAAAAAAGGUAUAAAAACCGUGUAUUUUCAUAAUAGUGUUAUGCAUUUUAACCAUAUUUAAAUUUUAUUUUUUAAAAAAAUAUUGAAAGAAUUAUUAUUAUUAUUAUUGACAAAGUAUGCAUGGAGGGGAUACGGCGAUACGCAUACUACAGAAUCUCUUUGACUACGACGCUAAUAAUAAUUCCUACACUUUUUGGACCGAUGUGAUGGGACUUGGAGGGGCAAUUUCGUCAUUUCGCAAGUCUUUUAAAAAAAAGGGGAAAAAGAAAGGAAGAGGCGGGUCCCACUCCCCGCGAACGGGAGCGCGCCUCCGCCGUUACGGUCGGAUUUGUGGCGGGAAGAGAUCGCCGCGCGCCACGUGGCACCACGAAACGCGUCUUUUUUCCCCGUCCUGUUUCGCGCGCCGGAACCGUACGGACGCCCCCAAAAAAGCCCCAAAAGAAAAAUUGAAAAAAGCGCUCGCGGGCGCAGAUCCGGCCGUCCGAAGGAGGAGAGGAGAGGACACGUGGACGGUCGCGAUCGGGAGGGAUUAGCUGGACAGCAGGAUGGCCACGUGGGCUCCGGGUGUUUCGAACGGCGGGACGGCCACGUCACGAUGACGGCAGCAGUCGCGACGUCAGAGUCUUGAUCGGCCUCCGGAGGGGAGAAUGGACGGACGAGAUCUCGAGGCGAGGGUAAAAGGACGGACGAGGCGCGUUGUCCCCCCACAUCGACCAUGGCGAACCCCAAAGAUCGUAAGGGCUGAUAUUCUCACGCCGCCCUGUUUAUCCUAACAUCGCGCUUAAUCCUACGUAGAGUAUCCCACUUUAGUAGUCGUAUAAUAAUCUAAAAAAUACGGAGUAACGAUAUCCGCUCCCGGUGGGGCCCGCAGUACACCUCUGUCGGGGGACCACGUGUCGUGUUUUCAUUAGCUAGCGACGUCCUUGGAAACACGAUCGAGAAUUAGGGAACCAAAAAGAUUUGCAGCCGCGAAAUUCCCAUUAUACCCCUCACACAACACUCCAUUAAUCACGACCGUUCAAUCACUAUAUAAAUAUUAUCACUGUACUAUAGCUUAUCAUUCCAUACCUAAACUCAAAUACAAACGUCUUUAAUUUAAUACAUUUACCUAUCGGAUUCUAACAGCAAUGACAGCAUGUUUAAAAAUAUUAAUAUUUUUAUAAGAAUAAUAUAGAAAGUUAAAUUUUGUAAUAAUAUAUUUAUAAUUUAUUGUGUUUGCAAAAAACUGUAUGCAAUUAACUUUUUUUUUUAUGCACUGUAGUUGCAUGUUUGAUUUUGUGCGGUUCAAUUUAACUAAUGCAGAUACAUGCAAUUUUAACUUAUACUGUAUUUUAAAUAACAUGCAACCAAACAGCUUCUUGUAGGCUAUUGCAAAACAAGCGCAUUACAAAAAAUAUAGAUCAACAACCCACCACCACACAUUUAUACUUAUAACAUUAUUUCUCCUACUAAAAUUAUGACAACUUCUUCAUUAAUUGUUGAAUGUGAACUCUAUCACAAACCUACUCAAUUCGUUACUCUUCUUUUUUCGGCUAUUACCUUCGUUCAUCAUCGGUAAAAUAAAUCACACCCAUUAACAUCACUUUUUUCACCGUUGUUUUCUUCUUUUUUUUCCGACGUUUUUUAUCCGUCGCAUAGCACGGUUAUUACGCUAGCGGGCAUCAUUAAGACAAAAAAUAACAGAUUAAUUGUACGGUGACUAAUGAUAAGAAAAAAAUAAUUACGGAUUACCAUUCCUUAAAUAUUGCAUCAUUAAAAGAAUUAUUAUUGUUAUUUAUAAAUAGAGACUGAGAGGAACAAAAAGAGAGACGAUAAUUUAAAAAAGCCCAAAAUCUAUACUGAGUGCCAGAAAGAUCUAGAAGCUUCAAAUCGCCCGGGAAAUGUUUACGAACACGAUCCAUCUUCACCGGUGUCUAUACGCGCUGUACAGCGGCUCUCCGCUAGCCGGCGCCGUUUCGAAGGCGGCGGCUCAUCGCGAGCCGGCUCCGGCUCCUUUUCGGGGAACGGCGGCGGCGCGGCGGAGGGAGACGAUUUUUGGGUGUCGCAGCUACCGCAGGCGGCGGCGGCGGCGUCGAGGACGCCGACGGGGCUCGGCGGCGGCGUCGGCUCCGGCUCCGGCUCAGGCUCCGGCUCGGGGAUCGGCUUCAGGCGCCGAUGAGCGGAAGGACACGUGUCGAUCAGGUACUCCUCCAUUAGCUGGCGACAACCGCGCACCACGUCCUGCGAAGCAUAUAGUUUUUAGUACCAGUACUUUGAGGGGCGGUGAUAAUACCCCAAAUUUUUUUUUUUUAUAAAAAAGUAAAUAGCUAAAAUAUUAUAUAUAUNUCCGAUAGCAUAGUAGCCUCACUCUAUAUAUAUAUAUAUAUAUAUAUAUAUAUAUAUAUAUAUAUAUAUAUAUAUAUAUAUAUAUUUGUUCUUCGAAUUGAGUAGAUAUGGUUGCGUCGGUUCACCGCAUCCAAAGUUACCACCGCACCACGUUCUCAUAUUUGGAUAAAAUGCAAAAGAAGCCCUGCACUUUCAAGCAAUUGCACCCUCCCAUGCAAAAGAUUUGUAGCCAACCAAUGUGUUAAAUUUUAGAGAAUAAGUAUAAAAAGUUAUCGUUCGAAUUUUAAAUACUUCGCAAAUGAUUUGAUUUUAAUCAUCCUCCACAAUAGACGUUGGAUUGAGAGUGCUAGGACUAUAUGCAUUUUGCUUUUUAUUAAUGAUUUUAUUGUAUCCUAUAUAUUUAUAUGUAUGACAUCGUAAAAUUAUUUUUCAAAAAUUUUAAAAAAUUUAUCUUUUUAUGUAAAAUAUCAAAAUACCGAAGAUUUGGAUGCAUGCAGGAAUUGAGACCGCAACCGAAUAGCCCCUAACUUUUAUCUGCAUAUUUGUGAUGGAAAUUGAUAUUUCCAAUGCUAAUUUUAUAUUUGAUAGAACAAAUUUAAAUCAUGAUUAAACACAAUAUACUUAUUUUUUGGGGGGUCAUGUACUCAUGUUAAGAUGAUAAUCUACUACAUGUUAUUAGCUUUUAGCUGAUGAAAAAUUCAAUUUCAUUAAUCAUCAAUCACUACUGAUAGGUGAUCAAAUGAUUAAUUUUAGAAAGAUAUAUUUAACUAAAGUUAACCCAAGGAAGCAAUUAAAAGUCAAAAAAGUUUCAAUAAAAAUUUAAAAAGAGAGGUUUAUUUAUUUAUUUAAAAAUAGACUUUAGUUGCCAGGUCACCACCAUAGAUUCAACCUUUCUUUUUUAUUAAUAAUAAAGUAUUGCCUCUUCUCACUUUGCAAAAUAAAGGAAAUUAUAAUAUCUUCGCAUUAAAAUUUUGAGACAUUCUUAUUGACCCCAAAAAGUGUAACUUUAAUUUUUUUUAAGGUAAAAACCUUAAAUUAAACUAAUGAGUUUUUAAUUUAUAUUCGAAACAAAUCACGCAGAGAUGCAGCGCUCGGUUCAUGAAAUAACUUGUGUACUGUACUACAUAUCAGGGUCUUAAAAAAAAAAAAAAAAGGAAAAAAAGAAGAGAAAUAUAUAUAAAUCCGUUUCCAGUUUUAAUUAAAAGAAAAAAAAUAAUAAUAAGAAGACAAGUGGUGGGUUGAUGCAAAAGUUUAAGAGGACCAAAGUGUGGGACAGGAAAUGGUGUGAGGACCGACGUGCAAAUUUAGCCAGAGAGAAGAAGAGGACAAAAAAAGUGAAGGGAAGGAGAAAAAAAAAGGUUUAAUCUUACCUUGCUGACCCACUUGGCCAAAGAGGUCGCCAAUUCGUCGCCGUCGCAGCCGGGCGAGGAAUCGCCGAUCUCGCGCGCCGCGCACAGCACCGCCGACGCCGCGAUCUCCGACGCCCGAUACCCCAAAAAAUCCACCACUACGUACACCAAAACAUCAAUUAAUUAAUUAAUUAAUUAAUUCCAACAACAUUAAUCAUUAAUACAUGGAUGGAUCGAUCGAGAGAGAGAGAGGGAGAGAGAAAUUGGGGGGGGGACGCACCGCGGUGGGCGUUGAGGACGAGGGAGGAGGCGCGGGCGAGGAGGAGAGGGGGAAGGGGGGGGCGGCGUGGAGCGAAGUGGGGGAGGUAGUCGAAGGGGGUGGGGGAGCGCAUGCGCCAGGCGAGGGCGGACAUGAGGAGCAGCUCCAUGCGGCGCACCGUGCGGGGGUCGAACACGCGCCGCGGGCCCUCCUCCGCCGUCUGCAGCUCCAGCAGACCCGGCACCUGCGUCUCCUCCAUCUUCGCCGCCACCCACACGCUCGCCACCGACACCAGCUCCGUCGCCCACCCCUCCCCUCCCCCCUUCAUUUUCAAAACACCCAAAAAUAAAAAUAAUAAUAAUAAUAAUUUAAAAACUUUAAAAUAGAGGAGGAACACGUACCAACUACCAACACCCAAAAAAACAAAAAAAAAAAAAAGGAAAAGAAGAAAAAGAAUUGAAUACGUAGGUUAAUUGGAUGGUUACCGGGAGGGCGCGGGAGGAGAGGAAGCGGUCGAGGUAGCUGACGGCGAGGCACGGCGUGACGGGGCGGAAACGGUAGAGCUCGCAGACCUUGAGGAUCCAGUUGACGGCGUCGUGACGGGAGGUGGCGUCGAGGGAGCGGUCGCGGAGGCGGGAGAGGUAGUCGGGGCGGGGGGAGUGGUGGGGCUCGGCGGCGAGCAUGACCGACACGUGGCGGUCGUCGGGGGCCCGCCACUCGUCGCCGUCGAACGGCGCGGGCGAGGGCGAGGGCGAGGGGGAGGUGGGAGUGGAGACGAUGGGAUGGGGAUGGGGAUCGGGAUCGUGCGGCUCCCAGGAGGCCACGUCGUCGGCGUCCUCGGCGCAGAGGAGGAGGAGGUUAGAGGAGGCGGAGGAGGGGUCCGAGGGGGAGAGCGCCAUGGGGAAACGGGGCGGCGGCGGCGGGGGGAAACGGAACGGGGCUUAGGGAAAGGGAAGCGGCGGGGUCAUGGGCGUUUCCCGUGGCGAGGAAACGGGAGACGGGGUCGGGCAUGGAAAGAGAAAGAGAAAGAGAAAGAGACACCCUCUCUCUCUCUCUCUCUCUUCUUUCUCUCUCUACUCUCUUCUUUCUCUCUCUACUCUACACUACUCUACUCUCUCUCUUUGGAGUAGCGUCUUAGUGUGUGCGUGGUCUUUUUGACGGCGUCGGGGGCAAGGGCGUGAAAAAAGAGACGGAGGUGUUUCUGCGUGGACCGCAGAGCGGAAGCGGUUUCGGUUGGGUAUUUAUAGCAUCUUGUUUCCUUUAUAUGCUUCUUUAUAUAUACGGAAAACUUUAAAUACCACCCCCUCUAGUUUUACACCUUUUUUAAUUUAGUACUCUAUAAUUUAAAAUAUAUUAUUUUUUAUCUUAUAAAUUUAUUUUUCGCUUUCUUUCUGAUAUUCACUCUAUUAAUUUUUUUUUAUUAAAUCAGUGAUAAAUUUAAAAUUAUAGAAUAUUAAAGUAAAAAAUUUAAUUAAUCACAGGAGUAUUAAAGUGAUUAUUCAAUUAAACAUAGCUGGGAGAUUAUAAGUUUUUUGUAUAUGAUUUAACGAAGAGUUAAUAAAAACGUUGACGAAAAGAAAAAAAUGAAAGCAAUUGUAUUAGAGUGAUAGUUUCUAGGUCAUGCGAAUUAAGUGGGCCAAUUUAAUAUUGUAAUUGAACCCUGACUAAAAAAAUAAACGGAGCAAUCAUUGAAUUUCGGCGAAAUAAACAAACUUUUAAAUAUAGAGUAUUAAAGUAAGAAAAUACGAGACUCCAGUGAUGACAUUUGAAGUUUACUCUUAUAUAUUCGAAUAAAUGAUGGAAAAUAUGAUAUGAUAUGAUAUGAUAUGCUCUUGAGGCACCAUUUUUUCAUGUAGAUCCCUCUAAAAAAUGAGAAUACCAUUUCUAUUGGCUUAGUUUCGAACCCGUUCCUCUGUUGUUCUCCUUGCAGUUUAGUCUCAAUAAUUUCAUACUGGAUGAGAAAAAAUUUAUGUAUAAAAAAUAUGAGGAUCAUGAAUCCUAAUAUAUACUAAUAAGUAAUUUUAAGUAUUUUGUACUAGUGAUUUAGUUCCGAUAAAUUAUUAGUCGAUAAGUUAUUAGUGCUAAUAGGUCAAAUCAUUACAUUAUGUCUCGAUUCAUAUCAACUAAUUUAAUUCUCCUUUGUAGUUUAGAGCUUGUUUGAUUUGGGGAAUCCCAAAAACAAAUUUACUUAUUUCAAAGAUAUUGUAGGCCUCGGUAUUUGCUCUCGCACUGAAAUCAUAAGAUCAUUCAAACCGCCGCUCAUAAUUAUAUGGAAAUUAGUUUUUCAAUUUCAAAUUUGUGAAAUUUACAAAUUUUAUUUUUUGUUUAAUUUCCUUCAAAAAGUCUCUUAGGGCGUGUUUGAUUCACCCCUUUUUCACCUGGAAUUGGAAUCAGAAUCGGAAUGGAUGAAUCCAUUUAUCCUUGCUUGAUAUAUGGAAUUUUCAUUCCGAUUUCGAUUUCUGGGUGAAUGAGAAUCCCUCCAAUUAUCCCUUUUUCCAAUCCAGCUUAAAAGGCCAUAUUAAAAAUUAAUUCCGAGCGGAAUGGAUUUGUUCAGCUUAAAUUUAACUUUGUUGAGUUUAUUUUUUAAUUAAAAUAUAAGUUUAAGAUUAAAAAUUAAAAUUCGAUCAAGUAUUUCGAAUCUAAUUUAUAAAUUUAAAUUUAAUUUAAAAUCUAAAGUUUUAUUCAAUUUUUAUUUAAAAUUUAAAUUUAAUUUAUGGAUCCAAAUUUAAAAUUUAAAUUAUAAUUUUUUAAGUUUGAAUUUGAACAAAUCGAAAUUUAGUUUUAUAUUUUGAAUUAUCCGUUCAAUUGCAAAUUUUAAUUUUUUUUAAAAAUAUAUUUAAAAUUUUGACAUUAUUUUAAAAUUUUAACGUAAAUUUUUUAAUAUUUAAUUUUCAGUUUGAAUUUAAACGAAUAUAUUAUAAAGAUAAAAUUGACAUAUUAAUUUAAUUACAUUUUUUAUAUCUAUCUGAACCAAACACCGAUAAUGAGAAUCGUUAAUUCCGAUGCCGAUUCAGAUGACGAACCAAGUAGAAGGAGAUAAUAAAUUAUUCUGAUUCUGUUUCCAACUUAUUCUCAUUCCUAUUUCGAAACAAACACAUUCCGGGGUAUGUUUUUAACUUUGCCGGCUCUUUUUGGAAAUUGUUAUUUGACUGUUUGCAACUUUGAUUUUAAUCUAGGAAAAACUUCAAAUACUCCCUUGUGGUUUCACUUUUUCUCACUUUAGUACCCUGUGUUUAAAGUGUAUCAAAUUAGUACUAUGUGAUUUUGCACUUUUUCACUUUAGUACUCUGUGGUUUAAAGUGUAUUAAAUUAGUAUCCUGUGAUUUCGCACUUUCUUACUUUAAACCACAGAGUACUAACUUAAUACAAAAGUAAAACCACAGGAUGCUAACUUGAUAUAAAAAUAAAAUCAUAGAGUACUAACUUGAUACACUUUAAAUCACAGGGUACUAAUUUGAUAUACUUUAAAUCACAGAGUACUAAAAUAAAAAAGUACGAAACCACAGCGAGAUUUUUUGAAGUUUUUCCUAAAGUAAAUAUCACCGUGAUUUAUAAAAUUUUACAAAUUACUACAUUGUGCUUUGUAAAUAUAUUAUUUUACUAUUCUAUUUAGUGACAUACUUUUAAGAUAAGAUAAGAUAAAAAUAAAAUAGUAGGAUACCAAAGUGUUAUUUUUUUUAAUCACAUAAUAACAAAGUGAGAUGGGUGAAGCCACUAAUGGGUUAAUGAAGUUUUUCUAGAAAAUUAUAUAAGUUUAAAUCCUUAAUUUAAAAUUAUGUGAAAUAAGCCUGAAACUUUGGAAUGGUGAUUCAAUUUGGGAUGCAAAAGCUUUUAUAGUGAUUUGACAUAUCAUAUUGAUUUUAUGUCUAAAUAUUUUAUCUAAAUUUUAAAUGCCAUAAUGACUACAGAAUUAAAUAAAGCCGAGCUCCGUCCCAAGAGCUACAAAAGUUCACUAUUUAUUGGACCGUGUUUUUUCACACAUGGUUUUAAUUUUGGGAAAAUUUCCUGUGUGCCCCUCUAAAAGCAUGUAUUUACACGCAUGCCCCUAUAAAAAUUGAAAUAUCUUAAAUGCCCUUCUAAAUAGAGAAAACUUUCAAAAAUACCCUUCAAAACACAGUUUUGUUAAAAUCUACAGUAACAGCAACCAAAAUACCGAUUUUACCUUUUUCAUAAUUAACUUUCUAAAUGUUCCAACUAUUACUAAUGAAAGGUUAAUUUCAUUCAUACCCUCUAAACGUUCAAAAUAUUAUAAAUAUUCCUAUAAAUUUGAUUAUAUCACAAAUAUUAAUAAAAGUCAAUUCACACUGUUAUUUAGUACAUUUGCACUUCUCUAACCUUGAUUAUAAAAUUUAUCAGAUAAUCUGANNNNNNNNNGAACACGAGCCGACCCCAGCUCGCUCGUGUUCGGCUCGUUGACACUCCUAGGUGUAGGCGCUAAUGUCAAUAGCUAAAUUAAAAUUAUUUAGAUGUUUAAAUAUUAAACAACAAAUUUCAAAAAAAAGUUGCAUACCGAAAUAAAACUCGAUUAGAAGUUCAAGGAACUAGCGGUGCAAUUUAUCCUAUUUUGAUGCUCAAACUAUAAGACGUUGCUUAUACGAAAAUAAUAUAAUAUUUUAAUUAUUAUCAUAUCAUCAAUUAUAAUAUUAUUAUAUCACUUUCAAAUUAGUAAGAUAAAUUGAUUUGUAAAAUUUAAUUAUAAUAAUUUUAAAAAAAAUUGAAUUAAUAUUAUAAUAUAUUAAAAUUUGAGGCAAGUUGUGUUCUCAUGCUUUACAGAUCGUGCAAGCGACACUGAGAACUCCCCACGUAAACAAGAGGUUAUUUUGCAUGGGUGAAAAUCUAAACCAUUUCUCUUUCUUUUUUUUUUUUUUUAGAGAGAGAUAGGUAGUACGCUAUCGCUUCGUUUAUUUCAAUUAGAAAUAAACUUAGCUGAAAAUGUGAAUCAAUUAGAAUUCGAAAUUGUGACCUCGGGUACUAACAUCUAAGCCUUUUGUCACUUGCUCAGGGGACGGUCGAUAUCUAAAAACAUUUCUUAAUUUCCAAAUUUAGAGGAAAAAAUAAAAAUAAAAACCCAUAAAUAUUAUAAUUGCCUUUUUAAAUGUUCCGACUAUUACUAAUGAAGGGUUAAUUUCAUUCAUACCCCUCUAAACGUUCAAAAUAUUAUAAAUAUCCCUAUAAAUCACAAAUAUCCUUAUAAAUACUAUCUUAUAAAUAUAUUCUCGUUGUUAAUUUUUAUCUCUCUACCAAAGAUCUAUUUAAUUUAGAUAGGUUAUCAUGAAUUAGUGAAAAUGUUCAUUUUAUUCUGAAUUUUUUAAAAUUUUUUGAAAGAGCACUUUAAUGUGAUGAAAUGUACAACAAAUAAACUUUCAAAACUGUCCCUCACUAGUAAUUAGUUUAGAUAAUGAUACAAGUAUUCAAUUUAAAUACUAUUAAAAUAUUAAUAAAAGUCAAUUCACACUGUUAUUUAGUACAUUUGCACUUCUCUAACCUUGAUUAUAAAAUUUAUCAGAUAAUCUGAGUUUUUUUUAAAAAAAUUUGUAAACAAUGCUAAAUCGUUUUAUUGUAAUUUCAAAUCUAGUAAGUAAUUUUAUGCUUUAUAAUUAAUGAUAAACUUUGUAAUUUUUCAGCUAUUUAUUAUUUUCUCUCUUCAUUUUAAAAAAUUUAGAAAUAUUUAAUAAUAUUGGGUAAGAUAAAAAUAUUAUUCUUUUAGAAUAUAUAAUUCUUACAGAAAUCCAUGUGAAAAUAUAACUAAAUAACUUUUAAAUUUGUAAAACUUUUAAAUUUAUGAGGUAUUUACAAAAGUUAAAAUUAUUACUAAUAAUUAGAACAUUUAAGGGCAAUUAUGAAAAUGAUAAAAUCAAUAUUUUGAUUGUUGUUACUGUAGAUUUUAAUAAAAAUAUGUUUUGAAAGAUAUUUUUAAAAGUUUUUUAUAUUUAGAGGGGCAUUUAGAAUAUUUCAACUUUUAUAGAGGCAUCCAUGUAAAUACUUACUGUUAGAGGGGCACAUAGGAAAUUGUCCCUAAAAAAAAAUAGCCACGUGGAGAAUGCAACGUCGCUAGAAGCAAUGUUAGUCGUGCCAGUAUACUGCAAACCAAUUUUAAAAUAUAUAUUAAAAAUAAAUUUCUAUAGUACAAUAAAUUAUUUAAAUAUUUUAUAUUAUAUAUAUUAUAUCAUAUAUUAUUUGACAGUACUGAUCAUCAGACGUUACGACAAGUAUCGAAUAUAUAUUGAACAAUAUUUGGAGCAUUAGUGUGAUAUAUGAAAUCAAAAUUCCAUCACAUCCAAAAAAAAAAAAAAGGCUUGUGUCACAUAGCUAUUUAAGGAUUGAGCCAAUGGGAGCGUGCAACAUGGGGGGAAGGAAAGUUGGAUACACUUAGUAUACCAUAAAUCAACUCUAAAAUAUGAAUUAAAAUUAAGUUUCUAUAGUACAAUAAAUUAUUUAAAUAUUUUAUAUUAUAUAAAUUAUAUCAUAUAUUAUUUUACAGUAGUGAUCAUCAGAUGUUACGACGAGUAUCGAAUAUAUUUUGAACAAUAUUUGGAGCAUUAGUGUGGAUAUAUGAAAUCAAAAUUCCAUCACAUCAAGAAAAAUGGCUUGUGUCACAUAGCUAUUUAAGGAUUGAGCCAAUGGGAGCAUGCAACAUGGCCGGAAGGAACGUUGGAUACACUUAGGCUGCGUUUGGUUCAGAUAUAAGUAAAAACUGCUUGUUUCAGGAAUAGGUACAAGUUCAGAUAUAAGCAGGAACUAGACCAAUUUUACGUUUGGAUGAAAAUUGAGUUGUUCCUAAGAUAAAGGUAAAUAGCGUUUGGAUGGUUAAAUUGGAACAAGAGAAAUAAAAGUUAUAAUUUGAAAUUAAAAUUAUAUUAUCUAAUUAAUUAACAUCAAAAUAUUACUUAAAAAUAAAUUAUUAAUAAAUAAUUAUAAAUAAUNUUAAAAAAAAUUUUGUAAACAAUGCUAAAUCGUUUUAUUGUAAUUUCAAAUCUAGUAAGUAGUUUUAUGCUUUAUAAUUAAUGAUAAAACUUGUAAUUUUUCAGCUAUUUAUUAUUUUCUCUCUCCAUUUUAAAAAAAAUUUAGAAAUAUUUAAUAAUAUUGAGUAAGAUAAAAAUAUUAUUCUUUUAGAAUAUAUAAUUUUUACAGAAAUCAAUGUAAAAAUAUAACUAAAUAACUUUUAAAUUUGUAAAACUUUUAAAUUUAUGGGGUAUUUACAAAAGUUAAAAUUAGUACUAAUAAUUGGAACAUUUAAAAGGGAAAAUAUGAAAAGGGUAAAAUUGGUAUUUUGAUUGUUGUUACUGUAGAUUUUAAUGAAAAUGUGUUUUGAAGGGUAUUUUUGAAAGUUUUCUAUAUUUAGAGAUGGGAUAUUUCAAUUUUUAUAGGGGCAUCCAUGUAAAUACUUACUGUUAGAGGGGCACACAGGAAAUUGUCCUUUUAAUUUUACUCUGUGUGAAUGUAGAUGCUCUUGUGCAUUUAUUAUUUUUCUAUAAAAAUUCAACUAUUUUCUCUAGUUUUUUAAGUAUAUUUGACAUGGGAUAGUACAAUUAAAAUUGAUGCAAUUUUUUACAUAUGCAAAAAAUAAAUGUGACACAGACUAAGCAAAGAAUAAAUAUUUAACCAAAUACUAUAUGAUUUAUUCUAUUUGUAUUUUCUUUGCAUCUACGUAGCUGGGUACUGCUUAAGAAUUUAGCGUCAAAAGCCUUCUUUAUUUUGAUCAUAUGACCGAAUAAAAAGAGGAAAGGAUAAUUAACAUAUUAUUUCUGUUUGAUUCGAUGAUAUUUGCUAACUGUCAAACUACUAUGACUAUCUAUUUUGACAAAUUACCGCAACCAAAAACUAGUAUGCAUAAUACAAUUCUAUACAUGACGCUACGUGAUUAGAAAAAGUUUCCAAAAUUAAACUCUUCUAUCGUAAAAAAAAAGAAAGAAAAAAAAAACACUAUAUAUAUAGUGGCACAGUUUAAGUAGAUAAGAAGAUACUGCUGGUUAAAAUAAAAUCAAUAAACAAUAAAAUUUGGAAGGAUAAUAAUAUAGUUAUUCCGAAAAAUAAACAAACUUUAUUGGUCAAUUAAUGGCAAAGGAUAUAAUUCAAAUUCCUAAAGUUUGAAGGAUAUAUAUACAAAUACUAAACUAUAGAUACAACUACAUAAUUUCAAGACUGGACCUACUAUACUCUUACGUGUAUAGCUAUGUUUAUACUUAUUAGUUUUCGGCCAUUGAAUGAAGAAAUGUGCGGAUAAGAUGAUAGUAGUUUCUUAGGGUUGAUUGAAUGGUUAGUUGAAUAGUAUGAUCUAACGGAAAAAAAUAAUCAAAGCAAUGGAUCUAACGACCGAAUAUUUAUGAGAACAAAUGGUCUUAUACUCAUAAGAGUAUAGUAGUCAGACUCUAAUUCCAAAUAUUUGUAGUGGGCAAUGUAUGCAAAUUUUUCUAUAUCUUUUCCUAAGGAAGGAAAUAACUGUUUUGGCCAUGUGGUUUGAUUCAAUGCUUGGGGUGAAUGCUACGUUGGUUUAAUGGGUUCAGUGGCACCAUCAAAUACUUUCUUUGUGUGAGGUUCUGAUUCAUUUGCUGCAAGAACCAUUCAUUGUAACCAGUAAUAGCAAAAUGUGAGCUCAUCUUUGCAUUAUGUUGCAAGGAUUAUUUAGUGUAAUUAAGGGAUGAAUCGAGUCGGAUAUUAUCCGUCGGAUCCAGCUUGUAAAUCUUAGAUUUGUCGGAUGCGGAUUUAGAUUUGCUUAUAUGAAUUGAUUGCAGAGUGUAUCACCAUUAAGGUGCGCUUAUUUUGAUGCAGAUAUAUACAAGAUGAAAUGGUUUAAAUGAACUAAAUCCGAAUUUCCAUACGGCAUGUUAUAAAGGUAUUGUAUCAAUGAUGCAAUGUUUAAGUUGAGGGUUAUUAAGUUGUAGAUGAUUGGUAAGAUUCUGAAAUUUUGGGAACUAAAAUAUUCAUGGGUAUCAUUUACUCAAAUCCAAGUUUCCAAAGGAAUAUAUAUAUAUAUAUUUGAAAUUAUUUGCGAUGGAGAUCAAGUCAAAUUUUUCUUGACCCAAAUGUGAUCCGACCCAAAUGAUUGUAUAAUUUUUCGUAAAUACACGUAUUUACGUAUUUUGGGUUUAUGAAACAUAAAAUAUUAUGUGAAAUUACAAAAAUCUUAAUAUAUCAAUUGAUAUGUUAACAAAAAUCGGUCUAUUAAUAUUGCCACUUGUGCGCAUGAUGAAUAUAAAAAAAUAAAGAUAAAUAUAUAUUGAAUCAAUUACUGUUAAAUAUUAAAGAUUAGCCGGAAUUGAAUUUACGACCUUAAAAUAUAACAAAAAGAUUUAACUCGUUUAAUACUAAUAGUGGUAUUGCAUCUACGGGAACGGACCCAAAAAUACACAUAAACAUUCCAUUCUUGUGCAUUGUGGGUAUAAAAGACGAGACACGUUAAAUUGAUAGAUAAUGUAAAAAAAUCAAGUAUAAUGUGAGAACCUGUUAAAUGAUGUAUGAGUUUAAUCUUAUCUUUAAUAUUAUAUUAUUCAAAUGGUUGAUCAAAUAAAAAAUGAUUUAUAUAUAUGUUAACAUUUCAUUCAUGUGGAUUGUGAAUAUAAAAGACGAGAAAUGUAAAAUUAAAAUAUAGUGAAAAAGAAUCGAGUAUAAUGUUAGAACCUGCUAAAUAAUGAAUAGCUUUAAAAGUAGCUUUAAUACUGUAUUAUCCAACUGAUCAGUUAAAUAAAAUAUAGCCGAAAGAGCUAUGCUACUAUAUUUUCGAAAACACGCAAUUGGCUUCGUUCGGCAUGAUUUACAGUUUUGAAGCUAUUUAGAAACUAAAUUUUAUAAUUUUUUGAUUUCGUUUAUCUAGUAAAUAAAUAGCUUUACAAUGAACGAUUGAAAAUAAAAAUUUCAUAAAAAAACAAAAAAUAAAAUUUGAAUCAAAAUUAUUGAUCUUACUAUUGAUGACAAGUAUAAUUUUCUAUUAAAAUUUUACGUAAUUUAAAUUUUUCUAUAUUAUUGAACUUAAUAUGCCUACACAGACCUUUAAAAUAAGAAUUUAUGAAACUCUUUGAUAUUUGACAAAUAAUAUUUAAAAUUUAUAAAAUUUAAUUUAUAAAUAAACCGGCAGAAAAAUUAGAUAUCUAUUCAAAAAAUUAAUUUAAAAAAUAUAAAAAUUAUUGCACUUUCGAAAGCAUAAUAAUAUGGCUCUAGUCCAAAUAUAUAUAUAUAUAUAUAUAUAGAGAGAGAGAGAGAGAGAGAGAGAGAGAGAGUGUGAGGUUUUUAUGCUUUUGGAAGCACGGAGUCUUUCGUGCUUCUAGGUCGUUUUUCAUGUUGCAACUUUCGAAUCGUCGAUCAGCUCCAUUAAACUUGAUCUAGAGUAUUUAAAGUAUCUAGAAAAUAAAUUUUAUAAUUUUUUGAUAUCAUUUGCCUAGUAAUCGAAGGGGCUCAAAAUCAAUAAUUUUAAAGGCCGUAGUGAGCCGUUUGCAAGUUUAACGGUAUAGAAAUAUUCAAAUCACGUGUAAUUUUGAUAGAAAAUUUUUUAUACUAUAUAAAACAAGAUCAAUAUCUUUGAUCUAAAAUUUUAAUGUCAUAUUAUCACGUUUUGUAAGAUUUUUAUUUUCAACCGUUAAUUUUGAGCCCCUUUAUUCACUAGGCAAAUAAUAUCGAAAAAUCGCAUAAUUUAUUUUCUAGAUAUUUCAAAUACUCUAAAUCAAGUUUAACGGAGCCGAUCGACGAUUCGAAUGUCGUAACAUAGAAAAUGACCUGAAAGUACAGAAGACUUCGUGCUUCCAGAAGCAUAGUAGCCUCACUCUCUCUCUCUCUCUCUCUCUCUCUCUCUCUCUCUCUCUCUCUCUCUCUCUAUAUAUAUAUAUAUAUAUAUAUAUAUAUAUUAACAUGUCCCUUAUAGUCUCCAAAAUGACUAAAAUUGGUAAGCCUAAUUUUUGUCGGUAGAAACAGAUGAUUGGACUAAUGCGAUUCCAUUUUGAAGUGAAAGAGAGUCAUAAUUGAGAAUAAUCAUUGCACUUCUCAUUUCACAUGGCAUAUUACAUCCCAUUAUUCAAAAAUUUAUAUUUUUUUAAAAAGGUUUUACUACUAAAGAUUAAUAAGAUAAAUGAGUAUAUUUAAAUCUUUGAAAGAGUAGAUUACAAGAUUUACACUCAUGUUAAGUCUAUAAUAACAUUACUCUGAAUCAAAUAUUAAAAAUUUUUAUGCCAAUAGUCUCACAUCAAAUAAAUAUAAGAAAGUACAGAAUUGAUAUAUAUAUAUAUAUAUAUAUAUAUAUAUAUAUAUAUAUAUAUAUAUAUAUUCAAAAGGGCAAAGCUGACUAAUGGGCUCGAUCUUUCUCGUAAUCAUUCAUAUAAAGUAAAGACAGGCCUCGCGUCAGAGCGCUUAUCGGCGGCUUGCAACAUCACAUCUGGAACGACCGAUCUAUGAAUAUAGAGCUUUCCGCGUAUAAAUAAAAAGAAGUAAGAUAAGUAAGAAUAAGAUUUGGAUUUUGAAAGGAUUUUUAGCCUAGAUAAAGAAUUGGAACUGAAAGAGUCUUUCGCUCAUGCAUUUCCUUCAGGCAGGAAAUAGGUGUCGAAAGCUCAUAACGAUCGCUAUUCAAUUAUGCUGCUACACAGAAAGGUGUGAUUAGUCAUAGUCAAUGUAUUUGAAGCGUGAAUGGUGUAUUUUAUACAGGGCCAAGUCGUCCAUCAAUUGAAGAUUAUAGGCGCAUUUCGACGAGCGAAUCAUUUCGUUUAUAUGAUGCAGUCGUCGAAUAGCUUUUUUAUUAUUAAAAUGAUUCAAUAAAGAGAAUACAAUAAACCUAUUCUAUUGUAUUGAAAUGUCAAUUCGUGAAUAAAUAAGACAGGCUUAGCUACCUACAGUAAGUUGAGAGGAAGCAUAAGCUAAGCAGCCAAAGUCGAGUAGGAAGCAAAGGAAGUUGUNUAUAUAUAUAUAUAUAUAUAUAUAUAUAUAUAUAUAUAUAUAUAUAUAUAUAUAUAUGGGUAUAGACUAUAAAACUUAGUCCCUGUUUAGAUAUAUAAAUAUCUUAUUUGUAUUCAAUAAAUGAAAAGUAUGAUCAAAUAGCUAGAUAUAAUACAAUGUUAGUGGAUGUUAGAGCUUCAUCUCGUAGGCAAAAUAUACUGUCCGAUCAAAUCACAUAUGCUAAGACCUUUUAAGAAGAAAAAACAAAAUUUCGUACCUUCCAAUAACAUAUUAAAUUUUUUAUACUGAAUAAAUUAAUUAUCGUUGGAUAAUUUAUUCUGAUAUCCAUACAAGGCCACUUGAAUGCAUGAAUAUCUUCUUCCGUAUAUCUAUUUGACUUAUUUAAGAAAUUUAUACAGUUGAAUAAUAAGGAGUGCGCUCAAAUGUUUAAAAUGAAAUAUCAUAUUCGGUCUCCAAAUUAUUUUUUUUCAAAAUAAGAUAAGAUAUAUCGUGGAUGAAAUAUGCUAUCCAACAAAUUAUGCAUAGCAAAAUUUUCGAAGAAGCAAAAAUGAAACUUUUUAUUUAGAAUUAUAGUAAAAAAUUUUCAUACAAAAUAAGUUAUUUUUAGAUAACUUAUUCUAAUAUCCAAACAAAGCCAUGAGCUUUUAAAUUGUAUGGUUUUAUUGGAUAUGUCAUACUCUUUGCGACAUGCGGGUUUAGGUUGGAUCAAAACUCCCUAACACCUAACAUGCCCUUAGAUUAUAUUGUUUGAGAAGUUAACUUCAGAUAUAUAGAUUUGGAAUUUGAAGCGAUUAGAUUCUUUAAGAGAUCUGGUGAUCCUUCUGAUUAUUAUGAUGAGAAUAAUUUUUUCACUUUCUUAGUGAUUUAUAAACUAUAAUCUAGUUAAUUUAAAUCCAAAAUUGGGCCCUAGCUUGCUUGUUGUGUAGAAACCAAAUGGACCGCAAUGGAGCCUAUAGUUGUCGCUUUGGGCUUUUUACAUGAUGAGCAUUUCAUAGCCCAUAAUUAUAAUUUGAAAUUUGCAGAAAAAAUUAUGUCUUUAACAGUACUAAUUUUAUUGGCCCAAUUUUUUAAUCUUUCCAAAGAAUUAGAAAUUGUCCAAAAAAUUAUGAGUUUUAAAAAGGACUUUUUUUUUUUUUCCUGUCAGUUUGGCCCAAUUUUAAAUUAUUUUUUAUGAUGGGACAUCUGGAUUGACGAUCGGCUAUAUUAAACAUGAUCUACACUAUUAAAAAUAUCUGAAAUUUAUUAUUAAGAUUUUUUAAUAUUAUUUAUUUUUAAAAUAAAAAACCUCUAAAUGAACAACUGACUCAUAAAAUAAGUAAAUAAUAAUAAUAGGCUUAAUUUCGUAUUAUAGAUACUCACUUGCUUUAAAUAGUAAAAAAAAAAAAUUUCGAUCAAAAUUUUACUAGAUUUGAAUUUUUUGUACCGUUGAACUUACAGAUACAUUACAUCGGCCAUCAAAAUUAUCAAGUUUGUGAUCUUGUAAUUGCUAAUUAGAUGAUGUUAAAAAAAUAUGAAAUUUGAUUUCUAAAUAUUUUCAACAGUAUAGAUUAUAUCUAAUUGUGCUGAUCAUCAAUUUCAAUAUCUAAUCAUAGAAAACAGUUUGGUAAAACGGAGGCGUCAGUACCACUAAUAGUAUACAAAUUGGACUUCUUCAAAAAAUAACUCCAUCUAUUGGCAGAGGGAAAAGAUUAGGUCAAAAAAAGCAUUUUUAAUCUUCGUUAAUCUUUCUCUGUUCACGCUAUUUGGGAAAAGAGAAAGAUGAUGUAUGUAGACGUAGAGCACCAAAUACGGUGGUGCCGUAAACGAGAUGCAUGGGUUCGAGCGUGACCCGUCACCCGAGAAGGCCACGUCCCAAUCAAGUGUGGUGGUCCGUCGCAUGUCUAAAACGAUUCGAAUCCAAAUUUCUUAUUCCGUUUCUCCCAACCUCUUUUUUUUUUUUUCUUUUAUUUUUUUUAUUGCUGAUACUUGAGAAAAAAAAACUCGUCUCAGACUCGAAAAUAAACCGAGUAAAUUUUUUAGUGACUCUGCUAAAAAUGCCUAUGUUUUAAAUUUUAUACAUACUCCAAUUUUUUAACUUUAUAAGUGAUUGAAAUAUCUAGUAUUAUUAUAUUAUAUAUAUAUUUUUUAUAUAACUUAUUUUUAGGGUAAACUUUAAAUAUUAUCUUCAUGAUUUUGUACUUUCUCACUUUAAUAUCCUAUAGUUUAAAAUGUAUCAAUUUAAUAUUAUAUGGUUUUAUUUAUUUAUUUUUCUUCAGUUUAUUCGUUAAUAUUUCGUUAAAUUAUAUACAAAAAAUUUCAAGUACACUAUCUAGAUUUAUCGAAUAUUCACUUUAUUAACUUUUAGUUUUAACUUUGUCAAUAAUUUAACGAAAAAAAAUUAGUAAAGAAAAUAAUAAAAAAAAAGAAAUCACGAGAUAUUAAAUUAAUAUAUUUUAAAUCGCAAGAUAAUAAAAUAAAAAAAAUAUGAAAUCAUAGGGAUGAUAUUUAAAAGUUUUUCUUAUUUCUAUUAUACUACAGUCUACUUUAUAGACAUUGUUUCACUUCUUACACUAUAUUAUUAUUAUUUUUUUCCAAAGGAAACAUUCCACUAUUCCUUUUCACUACAACAAAAACGAUCUAUAGCGACACUUUUAAAUGUAGGUACAUGUCAAAAAAGUGCUGCUAACUAAAAUUACCGACACUUUUAAAAAGUGUUGCUAUAUAUGGGGUCGCUAGGUAUAUAGUGAUAAUUAAAGAGUGUCGCUAUAAUCUAAAAGAGUGCUGCUAAUUUACCAACACUUAUUUAAGCAUUUAGCAACCUUCGAAACUCUAUCUCGUUGGCUGCGGUGGUGGAGGAGGAAGACAGGAAAGGCUUUUCGUCUAGAAUUUCAGUGGAUUGAGUGAAGAGAGAAGAAAAGAUGGUAAUUGAUUUUUCUUUUUUUUUUCUUUUCUGUUUGUAAUCGGGCCAAAUGGACUGGGUGUGGUGGGUUGAGUAGAGUAAUCUUUUAUUUUUGGUUGGAUUGGGCUUUAUAUUUAGGCAUUAGUAGAUAUUUUUUUAAGUUUUAGGAUAAUGGGACACAUACUCAAAAGUGUCCCAAACAUGUGUCCCUAUAACCUAAUUCUGUUGUAGUGUUUAUCAAUUCCUACAUUAUAAACAAUAAAACACCUUUAUAUAUAUAAUUGUUACACUAUAAAA